GCUUGCUUUGUCAUUCAUGGAAUAUGGAAUUCUUUAACCAAAGAAAUAGUACUUCUUAGUACACACGAUAUUAUCUAUAGUACACACGAUAGUAUACACCAUCAUUUGUAAUGUGAAAAGAUUUUGGUAAAACUUGAUUUUCCAAAUUUAUCUUGACCGCCUGAUAAUAUUAUUCUUGUUCUAUCAUUGUCAAUUACUUAGUCUUGUUUGUGUUGGGAAAAAGAGUAAUAAGAACAAGAUCUUAAAUAGUAAAAAGCUGUUUUUAUUCAUGUUUGUUUUUCUUUAUAAUUUCUUUUCUUCUGAUCAAAGCAAACAAUAAAUACCUUUCUUUUGAUGAAAGGCAAAGAUCUGUGUGGUGUUCACAAUAUUUCUAUAUAAUAUUUCAUCCGGAGAAAGCAAAGAACUCACCGGCAAACCAAAUAAAAAAAACGAAAAUGGAUCCAACUUUGUACAAUGCUGUGGUGGAAGGCAAUAUCAGUAAUGGUGAUUUUUCACUUGCUGAAUAUCUGAAAAGGGAUGAAGACAAUCCGUACCAAGUCACUCCAUCAGGCAACACAAUCUUACAUGUGGCCGCUCAUUAUGGCCACUCCCAUUUCGUGGCAGAAGUCCUUAAGAUUAGUCCGGCAUUGUUAUGCCACCGGAACAAGAAGAAUGAAACAGCGCUUCACGUAGCAGCUAAUGAAGGUCACAUCGAAGUAGUCCACGCGCUAUUUAGUAUGGAGGAGCAUCAUAAGGAGACGCUCAUGAGGAUAACAGAUGAGAAUGGAGAUACAGCGCUGCACAAGGCCGUGCGGAGCCGACAUCAAAAUGUAGCCAGACUGUUGGUGAAAGAAGAUCCUGCAUUCGAAUUUCCAUCCAACAAGGCUCGGGAGACACCGCUGUAUCUGGCAGCUGAGUCUGGUCUUCGUGAAGCUUUGAGUGAAAUCUUGAACUCAUGCAAGCAACCAACUUCUUCUGCAGGUCCAUUAAAUCGAACAACUCUGCAUGCAGCAGUAAUUAAGGAACACACGGGUAUGUACAUAUUUUUUUGACACUACUCUCAGUAUGUUAACAUCUCUUUUCGAUUCUUGUUACUAUCUAUUGUAUCUUGUACUUCGACUAUCGUAUUAUUUUGUUCCAGUACUGUUCUGUUUUGGACUGUUUUUCUUGAGCUGAAAGUCUAUCGGAAACAGCCUCUGAGGUAGUGGUAAGGUCUGCGUACACUCUACCCUUCCCCAGACCCACUUAGAGACUACACUGGGGAGUCUAAAUUUGCAUUGAUUUAACUCCUUAUCAUCAUCAUCUUUGAUGCAUGCAUCCAGAUUGCGCAAGAUUGCUAAUGCAAUGGAAUAAAUCUCUAUGUGAGGAACCUGACGUGGGGGGUUGGAAUUCGCUGCACUUUGCUGCUCUUUUAGGAUUGAAAGAAGUAGUUUCCGAUAUGCUGGUGUGGAAAAGAUCCUUAGCCUACCUUCCAGCAGGCAGUGACAAUGACUGGACAACAGCAAUUCACAUUGCAGCUGGUGGAGGUAAGGUAGACGUUUUACAUGCGCUAUUAAAUCACUUCCCUGAUUGCUGGGAAAUGCUCGACAGAAACGCACAAAAUGUGGUCAAUUAUUUACUGAAGUCCACAAAGUGGGAUAAGCUUAUCGAGGAUCCAGAUAACGAUGGCAACACUCCUCUCUAUUUGCUUGCUUCCUCUAAUUUUUGGGGCUGUGUGCCUCUGGAAUUAAAAGAUCAUCCCCGAGCAAAGAAGAGGUCAUAUAACAAGGAAAACAAGACUCCUUUUGACGUAGCAGUGUCUUGCACAGAGUGGAUGGCAGACAAGGAUAGAAUCGCUUGUUUAACGAUUUCUUAAAUUCCAUUGUUCAAUUGGGACAGCGUUCACCCAAGCUGAACCAGAUGGAUCGGCAGAAGAUAAUUUUCAACCAAGCUAAGGAACGUGACACAAACAUCAAAGGUAUCUUAUCAGCAGCUCAAAUGCAACUUGUUGUGGCUACUUUAUUAGUCACAGUCACCUUUGCAGCUGGUUUUACAUUACCGGGAGGUUUUGAAACCGAUGACGAUAGCCCUAAUAAGGGGAUGGCAGUUCUAAUAAAAAGAACAGCAUUCUGUCCAUUUGUUAUAACGGAUGCCAUCGCCUUUGCAUGCUCCGCUGGUGCUAUAUUCAGCUACUUCUAUAUGGUGACAAAUCCUCGUCCAAUGUCUUAUCAGGAUUUGGAUUAUUUGUGGUCUCUCAGUAAAGUUGGAGCUAGGUCGCAGCUCGUGGCAAUGUCAGCAGUUGUAAUUGCAUUUGUAACUGGUUUGUAUGUUACUUUAGCACAUUCAAUUGGUCUCGCAGUUACUGUCUGUGCCAUCGGUUGCAUCUCUUUCAUUAUGUACGUGUGGGCAGUGCUGAGGCCAGUAUGGUGGAUACGUGUAGCAAAAAAGUAAUGCAUACGUACAAAAAGUAUUUUUGACAUGUAUACUUUGUGUAAUUUUCUAUAUACAUAAUUGAAUUCCCAUGAAAUUACAAACACGAGUCAGAACCUUGAAGUGGGUGGACCGGUGAAGGAUCCAAAGGACAUGUUGUGAACACGGAUAUUCCAGAGGCUAGCCAGGCUGUUGUGCCCGAGGCUAAACCACGAAGAGGCCCAAGAAUUAGACAGACCAAUGAUAGAUUUGCUUGCGAUUCAAAAAAUAUAGUAACCAAACUAUUCACAAGAUGGUAUUGUACAUUUUUAUGGACGGAAAGACAUUUAAGCUACGAAUCGAUCAAAUUUGGUAGCAAUGUGAAAGGAAUAGUCUUGAAUCUCGAAAAUGAGAAUGAUUUUGCUCCUCUUCAACUUGUGAUCCCAUAUUAGUUGUGCCAUGAGGGAAUAUUGCCACGAUAAUCGAAUGCACACAUUAAUAAUUUAUGAUAAUCUAUCUCCACUAUGUUCUUAGUAAACAGACAGCAUGUCGUCAAAUGUCAUCACUAUUACGCUAACCACCAGGUCGUGAGGCAUUCACAAGAGAUGUUUUUUAUUAACAUUCUCGACUCUUGAAAAGAGCGACCUGAUACUCUGUGCUGUGUUCUUAGUAAACAGACAGCAUAUCGUCAAAUUUCUUUCACAAGGGAUGUCUUUUAUUUACAUUCUCAACUCUUAAAAAGAGUGACCUGAUAAUCUAUCUCCGCUGUGUUCUUAGUAAGCAAGCAGCAUAGUGUCAAAUGUCAUUGCUAUACGCUGACCACCAGGUCGUGAGUCUUUCACAAGGGAUGUUUUCUAUUUACAUUCUCGACUCUUAGAAAGAGCGACCAAACAAUCAAAAACUUGACAGGUGCAAGUAGCUUAACCGCCUUAUCCAUCAUUGAAACUAUAUCCAUGUCACACUGAAAACGCGUAUGUCAAAAACCCAUGCAACAGUGUCAUACCCAGGGUUUCAAUCUAGUGGUAAGAGCGGACUUGUGAAUUAGGCGUACGUGACACGUUUGAGCCCUGCAAGAGACAAAAUCAUUAUACUUAAGUGGAAAAGUAUUUUGCCAUGGCUUCUAACAUUUCCUUUUUGAACUGCGUUGAAUUGUUUUUCCUUUCGCUGGCCGCUGAAGGUCUACCAAAAUUCAGAAACCUCUCUGCCUCCCAAUGUAGGGGUAAGAUCUACAUGUACUCUAUCCUCCCCAAACUCCACUUGCGGAAUUUCAAUAGCUAUAUUGUUGUUGUUCUAUGAAUUAUUUAGUGAAGGCACAUUGGGUCUAUAGCAUUGUCGGUGACAGAAGAAAAUGAUCUCCUGUGACCACUUAUAAUUUGAACAGAAGAAAAUGAUCUUACGUAGAUUGUUAUAUCAUGUGAUAAAGGAUGUAUAACUGAAAUAACAUGGAAUGGACUAAAAAACCAUAUCUGUCAUAUGUAGUUGAAUUAUAUAUUUGCAAGCAAUAAGUACAAGUAGUAGCUAGCAUUCAUGUCUCUCUUACAUUUUCCUUGCUAGAUAAAUAACAACCAAGAGGUACAAUAAAAUAGAGAGGCAACCUAUGAAACAGACAGUAAUGGCAAGACCAAGUGAAUGUGAUAAAGUAGCAAACAUACCAGUUGCGAAUGCAAUUACAACUGCAAACAAUGACAAGCACUGAAAAAAAUAUGCGAUAUCAAAAAGUUUACCUAAAAUUUCCUUACUUUGAGGUUCUAUACUUAGAUCUGCCAUGAGGAAGUAGAUGAAUAUGGCAACAGCUGAGCAUGUGAAGGAAAUGGCAUCGGAAACAACAAAUGCACGAAAUGCUGUUUUCCUUGUUAGAAUUGCCAUCCCUUGAUUAUGGCUAUCGGGGUCGCUCUCAAAACCUCCUGGCAAGGUGAUGCCAGCGGCGAAAGUGACUGUCAUUAUCAAAGUAGCCACAACAAUAUGGAUUUGAGCUAUCUUCAUAAUACUUUCGAUUACUGUUUGAUCUGCCUUUUUAGCUUUAUCAUGAUCAUCUUCCCUCAGUUGCAUUUUGACUCCUGUUCCCAUUUCAUCAUUUGGAAUGGGCAUGUACUCGUACUUCCGCUUUACCUCAAAGUCACGUUUUCCAAAUUGGCCAGUGCUACCCAAAUCCUCCACCAAUUUCUCCUAUUUUCAUCAAUUGUACAGUUCAUAUUGAGUCAUUCUUAUUCUACUCUUGCAAGGACAAAAUAACUUCAGUAGUUACCUGAAAAUUCUAUCAAAUAGUAUCAAACAUGAUAUUUCAGAUACUUAGCAUAUAGUACGGAGGCAUUUCAAUAUUUCGCCAUCAUAUACUCAAGCGCAACAGGUAUUUGAAAAACAAAUGUGCGCCCGCUUACCUUCUUUGUUGUCGCUUUGCAUGACAAUGCUAUAUCAAGUGGAGUCUGGUUUUCUUUGUUAAAUGACAUCUUCUUUGCUCUAGGAUGGUUUAUUAAUUCAGGCACAUGGUUACCAGAGGCAGCAAGCAAAUGGAGAGGAGUGUUGCCGUCGCUAUCUGGUUCAUCAACAAGGCUGUCGCACUUAUCAGAGUCUAAUAAGAAGCGGACUACCUCGUCUUGAUUGUUCAAUACGGAAACAUGAAGAGCAUUUUGACUGUUGCUGUUAAGCAUAUCGUGACAAUCAGGGCAGUGAUUUAAAAGCUUCUUUAUCAUGUUUACGUCACCUUCACUGGCUGCAAUGAGAAUUGCUGUCGUCCAGUCAUUUUCACUGCCUGCCGGAAGGUACACUAAGGAUUUUUUCCACGCCAGCAUAUCAGAAACUACGUCUUCCAUUCCUAAUUUAACAGCAUAGUGCAGUGAAUUCCAACCCCAUAAGUCAGGUUCCUCGCAUAAAGGCUUAUUCCAUCUCCAGAGUGAUCUAAUGCAAUCUGGAUGCGUCAACAGUCAACACGAUAAAUGUGCAAAUAAGGGGUUAAAUCAUCUCGCAAAUAUAGUUGCACAACAGACAUUACGAAACCAUCAACAGAAAUUGCAGAUAAAUGUUUUUUAGAGCGGUCGCAUAACAAGUGAUCUGAAUUCUACAUAAAUUGAUGAGGCUAAUGGAGGAUCCUAGAGAGACUAUCGACAUGAUUAAUCCAAAUUUAUGUAGGCGAAGUUAAUUAUGGGAAAGUCAACUGAAGUUAGAUAUCGAUACAGUAAAUAACAAAAAUUAUGCACCUUUAUGUUCCUGAAUUACUGCUGCAUGCAGCGGCGUUCUAUUAGAUGGACCUGCAGCGUAAGUUGGUUUUUUGCAUGAUUCCAAGAUAUUAAUCAAAGCAUCAUGAAAACCAGAUUCAGCCGCCAGAUAGAGUGGCGUCUCCUUCGCAUGGUUAGGCGGAUAUUCGAAUUCAGAAUCUUCUUUCACCAAGAGCUUAACCACAUCUAGAUGUUGGCUCCUCACAGCCUUGUGCAGGGCUGUAUCUCCACUAGCAUCCGUCAUCCUCAUGAGUUUCUCCUUAGUAUUAUGAUCUUCUAUACGUGCAAGUAGCACACGUACUACUUCAGUGUGCCCUUCGUUAGCUGCUAUGUUUCUUGUUUUGACAGCAUAACAAUGCCAGAGUAAUCUUAAGGACUUCUGCCACGAAAUGGGAGUGGCCAUAGAGAGCUGCGACAUGGAGGACCGUGUUUCCCUUUGGAGUGACUUGGUAGCCGUUUUCUUCAUCAUUUUUCAAAUGAUCAGCAAGUAGAAAAUUUGCAUCUCCGACAUUGCCUCUCGUCGCAGCAUUAUACAUGGUCGAGUCCAUUCCUUUUGAUUUGGUGGUUUAUCCAAGAUCUCCUGUGAGUCCUUUGCUUUCUCUGGAUGAAACAUUAUUACAUAGGAAAAACUAAUUAGAUGCUUAAUGAAUCUCAAAGAAGAAAGGGAUCUGGUGUUUGCCUUGAUCACAAGAAAGGGAUUUUGAUGUUUUCGUAUUUUCUCUUUCUUGUCAAAACAACCCACUCUAAUCGCACAUCAUAAAGCUUACUCUAAAGUAAAGAAUCUCUAAUAAAUGAAAUUAAAAACCAUGAUCAUAUUAUACAAUAAGAAUUCAUAUUAAUAGUGAAACAAGAUGCUGAUGACAUAUCUAUCUCUCAAGAACAUUAUACAAAAAGAUUGAGGAACUGCAAGCCAGUGAACAUGUCAACGUUGUAACCAAAUUGUAUUAGGAACAUUAUGUAGGAAGUUUCAGAUCAUAAGGCCCUUUCUUUCACCAAAGCAACGAUACUUCUUAUUUACGCGCAGUAUUAUCUAUAGUAGCAACUUUAUCAACUUCCAACGCCAAAUUGUAUGACUAACACAGUAGGCUGCUGCGACAUACUCGACUUUACAAGUUAAGAAAGGAACCAAAAAAAGAAAAAGAGAAAAACAAGAGAAUAUCAUCAUAGGUUGCUUCUUAAGCACCAAAGUGAAUGUCUUUUCUCCAAAAGAAAAGAUUGCAGUGUAAAGCAUUGUAGCUAUCCGUAGGGUAGGGGGAAGAGGCCCAGACCACAGGGGUCUAUUGUGUGUGGCCUUAUCCUACAUUUUUGCAAGAUUAUGCAUUAUAAAGCAUUGAAUUUGUAAUACGAAGAGAUUUUGGUAAAACUUGAUUUUGCUGUCAUGUAACCAGGAGGUCAUGGGUUCAAGCAUUGGAAACAACCUCUGGCAGAAAUCCAAGGUAAGGUUGCAUACAAUACACCCUUGUGGUGGGGCCCUUCCCCGGACCCUGCGCAUAACGGGAGCUUUAGUGCACCGGGCUGCCCUUCUAUCAUUUUCAAUUAGUUAGUCUUGUCUGUGUUGGAAAAAAGAGUCAUGACAAGAAAAUCUUAAAUAAUAAAAAGAUGUUUUUAUUCAUGUUUGUUUUUCUUUACAAAUUCCUUUCUUCUGAUCAAAGCAAACAAUAAGUACCUUUCUUUUGAUCAAAGGCAAAGAUCUGCGCGGUGUCCUGAAUAAAUCUAUAUAAUGUUUUAUCCAGAGAAAGCUAAGAACUCAGUAAACCAAAUAAAAGAACGAAAAUGGAUCCAACCUUGUACAAUGCUGCGGUGGAAGGCAAUAUCAGUGGUGGUGAUUUUUCACUUGCUGAAUAUCUGAAAAGGGAUGAAGAAAAUCCGUACCAAGUCGCUCCAACAGGCAACACAAUCUUGCACGUGGCCGCUCAUUAUGGCCACUGCCAUUUCGUGGCAGAAGUCCUUAAGAUUAGUCCGGCAUUGUUAUGCCAUCGGAACAAGAAGAAUGAAACUGCGCUUCACGUAGCAGCUAAUGAAGGUCACAUCGAAGUAGUCCAUUCGCUACUUAGUAUGGAUGAGCAUUAUAAGGAGACGCUCAUGAGGAUGACAGAUGAGAAUGGAGAAAUAGCGCUGCACAAGGCCGUGCGGAGCCGCCAUCAAGAUGAAGCCAGACUGUUGGCGAAAGAAUAUCCUGAAUUCGAAUUUCCAUCCAACAAGGCUCAGGAGACACCACUAGUCAAUCAUUCUCUGUUGCAUACAUUUUGGUCGAUUAAUAUUUAUGCUUCUUGGAUUUUUCAUUCAAUGCUAUGACGGGUGAUCGUCCUCACAGAUUCAAGGCACUGACUAGUAUGAACAAAAUGUAAGAGAAAAUAAAUUAGUUCUUACUAAUUUUUUUUAAUUAAAUAUGACGUGGAACUCUAGUAAGAUAACACAUGGAAAAGCUAUUUUUGAAAAACUACCAUUAACAAGCAUAGGCAUGUAUGAACCUGUUUGGUAACGGCAAUGAUAUAAACGAGCCAAACUUUUAACGGAUGAUAUAAAUGAGCCAUUUCCGAUAGUUCAAUAGCAUAUUUAAGCCUUUUCUAUUUGUUUUAAUUAAUGAUUUGGACCUCUAGUAAGACGACACGUGGCAAAGCUGUUUUCGAAAACCACCGUUAAUAAGUAACUAACAAAAAGUUUUCAUGUUUUAAAAAAACUGUUUAUGAAUAAUAUGAAUAUGCGAUUGAUGAAUAAAAUCUUGAAGAUAAGUUAAUUUUACAGGUCUUCUUUUGUUUAAUCAAUUCAGGGUACUAAGUAACAAAACAAUUUUUGAUGCAUUGAAGUAAAGAAUUCAAGACAUCCAAUUAUUUCAGUACCACAAUGUAUAUUGGUUUGCAGCUUAGGUACUUACUAAUAUGAUUUGGAGACUAAAUGUCAAAUUCGGCAAGUGCUUUGAUGUCUAACAUAUGAUAGAGAUUAAGAUGAAUAAAUAUUUUAUUAAGUAUAUUCUCUCACGAAAGAAUUUUUUUCUUUUUGUAUAUAAUUUAAAUGCUUGUUGACACCUAAUUUUUGUCCUCCACAACUACGUUUAAUCUCGAGUUUCUUCGAUUUUCAAAUAAAAUCACAACAAGUAUUUUUUCCAAAUAAACGCAUUUUAAAAUAUGCAUUUGGGUUAAAUUUGUCAUUUAAGUAAUAAUUAUAUAUUUUUGUAUUUGCAUAUACGGGAUUGUAUAAAUGAUGUCAUUUAAAUGAACAUUUUUUUUAAUCAAAAUUGGACUUUAAAUUAAGGAUUAUUUGAAAAAUAAAUUUAAUAAUUAAAGUCUUGAUUCAAAUAUAUUUAUCUUAAAAGAUAAUUUAUCUGAAUAAAUAUGUGUUUGAUUUUAUCGAAUCCAGAAGCUCGAGGUUAAAUAAGGUAUUAGUUCAGUUCGAAUUUUGAUUGAAUUGAGCCAAUCUAUUAAAAUUGGUCAUAAUUAAAAUCAAUUGGUCAUAAUUGCGAUGCAAUUGGCCAACUGAUUUUCAAUUGACCAAAACUUAAAUGAAUUGGCCAAAUCCCCAAAUAAAACCCAAAAUUCUCAAUUACCAGCCCAAUAAAAUAACCCAGCCCACACCCUUAUUCUCUUAAACAGCAAAACAACACCAAUAUCAACCUCACCAAACAACACGGUCUCAACCACAAAAACUCAACCUUAUACCCGAUCUCCAACGUACAAACAAUCAAAAAUGGCGUACAACUCCAGCAAACGAACGACCUCAACCCGAAUCCAAUCGAACCCGACCCUACCAGCUCGAAAUCCACCCGAAAUCAACCAGUUCGCAGCCCUCCUCAUGUGUCUCAUGCGAGAAAACCCUUGAAGCUUCCAGAAUCCGAUGAGCUGUCCCCCUAACGGCUCAACCCCGUGAUUCUCGGGAUAAUAGGUACGAUUUCGUACACGUUUGGAGGAUUUUCAUUGGUUUAGGGGUGUAUUCCGUUGGUUUCUCUUUUCUAUUGGUCCACGAUUUUCAAUCCGUUUUGGGAAGAAUUCAAAAAAUGGGGGCACCGUGUACUAAGGCCAUCGAGAGAGGACCCUCAUUCUUGUGACUAUAAAAAGCUCAUUCAUUGAGCUGAAAAAGGGGGGGAAGAGGGAUAGAUUCUAGGGUUCGGAAAUAAUUCGAGAAACUAGGCUAAGAGGGAGAGAUUCUAGGGUUCGGAAAUAAUUCGAGAAACUAGGCUAAGAUUGUUUUGGUUUUCGAAAGAGGGUGAAAAAGCUCAUUCAGUGAGCUGAAAAGAGGGAUUGUUCUUUAUUCUUCCCUUUUAGGUUCGAAAGUUCUUAUGUUCAAAAUUUGAAGGGAAAUUUCUUCUAAGAGAGAGGUAUUUGAAAGGAGGAAAAAACUGAGGGAGGUGGAAGAAGAAAUUUUGAGAAUGAGCGAUUCCUUUGGUGAAGUUUUCUGGUUUCCCUUCUUCUUCUUUUGAAACUUGCUCGUUUAAACGGAAGACCUGAAGGUUCGUCGAUUGGUCGUGACUUCCGAAUUGACAGCAACGUUAUUCUCUGGUGGUGAUCGAGAUUCCGUCAAGAGCUCGAGUCCCGUUUUGCUGCCCUGAAGCAGGUAACUCGUCGUUCCGUUUAGUUCCGUUUAAUUUCUGCCUGAUCUCGCCAUUACGUAAAUAUAACAAUGUUUACGAUAAUUUUCUGGGCUGGAAAUUGCUUGCUAUAGGAAGCCUUAUAGGCCAUAGGACCUUGUAUGAGAUAAUUUCAUCUGUUUCAUUUGAUUGCCGUUCGUGAUUCAUGUUCAACGAGCUGAUUAGUGUAUGAUGAAAACUGUCUUAUGAAAUUGCUUGUUCUAAUCAACGCUAUUAGGUACUGCGUAAAAUAGUUGUGUAUGUGCUCUAUAUUUCGGGAGGAAAAUAUUUGCAUAUUAUGUUUUUGCCACAACUGAUGGUUUAUGUAUCAUGUGUACUUGAGAUUAUUCAUUUAUGGAAUGUAUGUUAUAGGAUUUUCAUGUUUAUACACCUUAUACUCUACAAGAUGUCCUUAUCCGAAUGUUUCAAUUUGAGUAAAUGUGCAAUGCCCCUCUUCUGGUAAAAGGAUAGGUCCAUAAACUGGACAAGAUGAUGGGUUCAAAUGAUUUUGCAUCUUCUUUGGGAUUUGUUCUUAGGAGCCUCAUUUGUGACACUUCUUUAUCAAAGUUAAAUAAAAGAAGUCUUUUCUAUUUAUAGUGUGUAUUCCCUUACUUUACCUAUUUCGACAUAAGUUUAACACGUACACUUGUAGUUCUUAGUUGAAAAUUGAUUCUAAAACUAGCUUUUCCUAAGUCAUUACUAACUCGUAUUAGCUUGUAUACCACCUGUAAGAAACUUUUAGUAUCCUAUUCACUUGUCUGGUAAAUACACCUCUUCUUACAUCAUUCUUACUCUUGUUGGAUAAGAAAGCGUUUUUAGUUGCAUUGCUCCUUCCCGCCUUUCUGAUUCAUUUCAGUACCUAAGGUUAAGAGUUUUGCAUCCGUUUAAACACAAAAUCAUGUUCACGUUUUAUUUAAAGCCAUCUUCUUUUUCGUGUUAUCGUUUGGUAGAAAAAUUCAAUAGGGUAAAAGUUGUUUGUAGGCUAUAUGUGUGGUGACAUGCCUAAUUAAUGUGAUUACUCUGUGGGAGAAGUUCUGUUUUGGUUGUUUCCUGAUUNNNNNNNNNNNNNNNNNNNNNNNNNNNNNNNNNNNNNNNNNNNNNNNNNNNNNNNNNNNNNNNNNNNNNNNNNNNNNNNNNNNNNNNNNNNNNNNNNNNNNNNNNNNNNNNNNNNNNNNNNNNNNNNNNNNNNNNNNNNNNNNNNNNNNNNNNNNNNNNNNNNNNNNNNNNNNNNNNNNNNNNNNNNNNNNNNNNNNNNNNNNNNNNNNNCGGAUGGUCUCUUUCCCCUUGCUUCUAUUAAUGGGACACCGAGGCCCACCAUGUCUAUCGAGUCAGGCCCGAAUAAAAGCCCAAAGUCGAGCAUGUAGCAUAUGGAUACGAGAAGUCGAAAGAAGAGCAAAUGGAUUAAAGUCCUAUCAUUUAAAGCGGCUACGAGACCCCAAAAUCUCAUUUAUUAUUUUGUUUAUUUACUUAUUGUCGUCUUCAUUUAUUUAUUUAUUUCCUUAUUUAUUUAUUUGGGCCUCGAUUCCAAAGUUGUACUUAAUACAGGAGAAGCGAGACUCGAGCUAAAGGCUCGAAAACAUAAAAUUAGGACAGGUGGAAGACCGGCUGAAAGCCCAAUAUCUAGAUUAAGACAGGAUUGUCGAUUUGGGCCUAAUGACUCAAGUCCUUCUGCUUCUACCCUUUCCCUUUUACUUUUGCUAAUUUGUUUUAUGUGUUUUCUUGCGAACCUAGUUAAAAUUCCUAACUAAGUCGCUAAAAAUUGGUUUUGCAUAAACCUUAAAAAUAUUUCCUAAACAAAUUACUUUUUCCAACAAAUCAAUAUUUUUUCAAAGUUAAUCAAAAGACGAUUUUCAAAUAGUUCGAAUAAUUGUAAGUUAGCGGACGUUUUAGGUGUCUAACACCUUCCUAAAACGUUAAUAGGAACCACUUACUCGGAAUCUCUAACUUAAAACGAUUUUUCUGUUGUAGAUCGUUUAAAGUGUUUUAUAAAGGUUUCUUAAUUCUUUUUCAAAAUUAAGUGGCGACUCUCAAAAAAGUCAAAAUUUCUUCGCAAAACAAUGCUUGAUGUCAGACAUACGUGUAACGAACGUAUCUUAGACUAGUAACUAAAAUAACAUGUAAUGGACUGAAAAACCAUUUCUCUCAUAGUUGAAUUAUACAUUUGGAAGCAAUAAGUACAAGUAGUAGCUAGCAUUCAUGUCUCUCUUACGCUCAUCUAAUAAUAGCAAAAAAGUACGAUAAAAUAGAGAGGCAACCUAUGAAACAGACCGUAAUGGCAAGACCAAGUGAAUGUGAUAAAGUAGCGAACAUACCAGUUGCGAAUGCAAUUACAACUGCUAACAUUGACAUGCACAGAAAAAUAAUUGCGCGAUUACAAAGCUUCUCUAUAUCUUUAUGUUUAAGCUUUGUACUUACAUUUGCCAUGACAAAGUAGAUGAAUAUGGGAACAGCUGAGCAUGUGAAAGCAAUGGCAUCGGAAACAACAAAUGCACGAAAUGCUGUUUUCCUUGUUAGAAUCGCCAUCCCAUUAUUAUGGCUAUCGGGGUCGCUCUCAAAACCUCCUGGCAAUGUGAUACCAGCGGCGAAAGUGACUGUCAUUAUUAAAGUGGCUACAACAAUAUGGAUUUGAGCUACCUUCAUAAUUCCUUCAACUGCUGUUUGAUAUGCCUUUUUAGCUUUAUCGCGAUCAUCUUUCGUCAGUGGCUGGUACUCGUACUUCCGCUUUACCUCUAAGUCACGUUUUCCAAAUCGGCCAAUGCUACACAAAUCCCGCACCAAUUUCUCCUAUUUUCAUCAAUAGUACAGUUUAUAUUCAGCUAGAUUUCUGAAUCCUAAUUGUAAAAAGUCUUGAAAGUCAUUCUUAUUCUACUCUUGCAAGGACAAAAUAACUUCAAUAGUUAUCUGAAUAUAGUAUCGAAGAUGAUAUUUAAGAUUAGUAUACAGUACGGAGGCAUUUGAACUUGAAAAGGAGUAUUUGAAGUUUUGUGGAACUACUUGUGUUUGGACAAAACUGAAGAUUUGUGAGUGAACGCGAACCAUUCUUUCACUUGACAUAAUACUUGAACUAGUAUUUCAAUAUUUCACCAGAAUAUAUACUCAAGUGCAAUCAGUAUUUGAAAAACAAAUGUGUGACUGCUUACCUUCGCUGUUGUCACUAUGCGUGAUAAUGCUAUGUCAAGUGGGGUCUGGUUUUGUUUGUUAAAUGACAUCUUCUUUGCUCUAUGAUGGUAUAUUAAUUCACGUACAUGGUUAUCAGAGGCAGCAAGCAAAUGGAGAGGAGUGUUGCCGUCACUAUCUGGCUCAUCAACAAGGCUGUCGUACUCAUCAUAGUCUAAUAAGAAGCAGAUUAACUCGUCUUGAUUGAAAAAUACGGCAACAUGAAGAGCGUUUUGAUUGUUGCUGUUAAGCAUAUCGCGACAAUCAGGGCAGUGAUUUAAUAGCUUCUUUAUCAUGUUUACAUCACCUUCACUUGCUGCAAUGUGAAUUGCUGUCGUCCAGUCAUUUUCACUGCCUGCCGGAAGGUACACUAAGGAUUUUUUCCAUGCCAGCAUAUCAGAAACUAAGUCUUCCAUUCCCAAUUUAACAGCAUAGUGCGGUGAAUUCCAACCCCAUAAGUCAGGUUCCAAAGGCUUAUUCCAUCUCCAUAGUGAUCUAAUGCAAUCUGGAUGUGUCAACACGAUAAAAGCAUAAAUAAGGGGUUAGAUCUUCUCGCAUAUAUAGUUGCACGACUGACAAUACGAAAUCAUCAACAGAUUAUGGGAAAGUCAACUGAAGUUAGAUAUCGAUACAGCAAAUUAUGUACCUUUAUGUUCCUGAAUUACUGCUGCAUGCAGCGGCGUUCAAUUAGAUGGACCUGCAGCAUAAGUUGGUUUCUUGCAGGAUUCCAAGAUAUUAAUCAAAGCCUCAUGAAAACCAGAUUCAGCCGCCAGAUACAGUGGCGUCUCUUGCGCAUGAUUAGGCGGAAAUUCAAAUUCAGAAUCUUCUUUCACCAAGAGCUUAACCACAUCUAGAUGUUGGCUCCUCACGGCCUUGUGCAGGGCUGUAUCUCCACUAGCAUCCGUCAUCCUCGUGAGUUUCUUCUUAAUAUUAUGAUCUUCUAUACGUGCAAGUAGCACACGUACUACUUCAGUGUUCCCUUCGUUAGCUGCUAUGUGAAGAGCGGUUUCAUUUUUCUUGUUUUGACAGCGUAACAUUGCCGGAGUAACCUUAAGGACUUCUGCCGCGAAAUGGGAGUGGCCAUAGAGGGCUGCGACAUGAAGGACCGUAUUACCCUUUGGAGUGACUUGGUAGCCGUUUUCUUCAUGCCUUUUCAAAUGAUCAGCAAGUAGAAAAUUGGCAUCUCCAAUAUUGCCUCCCAUCGCAGCUUUAUACAAGGUCGGAUCCAUUUUGGAUUUGGAGUUUUAUCCAAGAUCUCCCAAUGACAAUCCUGUGAGUCCUUUGCUUUCUCUGAUGAAACAUUAUUAUAUAUAGGAAAAACUAAUUAGAUUCUUAAUGUAUUCAAAGAAGAAAGAGAUCUGGUGCUUGCCUUGAUCUCAAGAAAGGGAAUUUGAUGUUUUCCUAUUCCGCUUUCAUGUCAAAACUAAAAGAAUAUCAUGAACAGUUUUAAGAACUUAUUAAACCUCCCAAGACAAAGAUGUUUUUAUUCAUGUUUUUUCUUUUCAAAUUCCUUUCUUCUGAUCAAAGCAAACAAUAAGUACCUUUCUUUUGAUCGAAUGCAAAGAUCUGUGUGGUGUUCAGAAUGUUUCUAUAUAAUAUUUCAUCCAGAGAAAGCAAAGAACUCACUGGAAACCAAAUAAAAAAAACGAAAAUGGAUCCAACCUUGUACAAUGCUGCGGUGGAAGACAAUAUCAGUAAUGGUGAUUUCGUACUUUCUGAAUAUCUGAAAAGGGAUGCAGAAAAUGAGUACCAAGUCACUCCAACGGGCAACACAAUCUUACACGUGGCGGCAAAUUAUGGCCACUCCCGUUUCGUGGAAGAAGUCCUUAAGAUUAGUCCGGCAUUGUUAUGCCAUCAGAACAAGAAGAAUUAGACUGCACUUCACAUAGCAGAUAACGAAGGUCACAUCGAAUUAGCCCACUUGCUACUUAGUAUAGAUGAGCAUCAUAAGGAGACACUCAUGAGGAUGACAGAUGAGAAUGGAGAUACAGCGCUGCACAAGGCCGUGCGGAGCCAACAUCAAGAUGUAGCCAGACUGUUGGUGAAAGAAGAUCCUGCAUUCGAAUUUCCAUCCAACAAGGCUUGGGUAUUGCUGAGUAUAGUAUGCUGUGCCAUCGGUUGCAUCUCUUUCAUUAUGUACGUGUGGGUAGUGCUGAGUAUAGUAUGCUGGACACGCGUAGCAAAAAAAUAAUGUAUACGUACAAAAAGUAUUUUUGACAUAUAUACUUCGUGUAACUUUCUGAAUACAUAAUAUAAACUUUCGACAAAGGAUGCUCAACUAACCACCCUUUACUGCGUGUUGGUCAUGUAUCUUCUUGAAAGAGAAGUGUAGAGAGUGUCAAGACCACCCCUAACCCCCAACCCCCAAACCCCAAACCCCAACCCUAAACACAUGUACCAUGUAACUCUCACCAAAUUGGAAGAAAUCACUUAGUGUUUUUGCCUUUGUCGGGACAUUCAGUUGGUCUCACCGUACGAUAUAUAUUAGUAAUAUGUAAGAAAAAGACUAGUGCAGUUCAUGAACAUGAGCAGACACAACGAUUUCAAGUUAUAGUAAUUGAAUUCCUAAAAACUACAAAUACAAAUCGAACGUUGAAGUGGGUGAAAAUUCUAGGAGACCAUGAUUCAAAUGUGAGUUUACAUUUAUAACAAAAAUGACUUAAUAAAGCAAAAAUGAAUAAGAACGGUAUAAUUCAAUUCAACAUCUUUUGUCGUUUAGAAAUGCAUUCUUCCCUCAAUUUUUCGACAUAGGGGGUUAGCUUGCUUCCGCUGGUUAUGGGUGGACCGGUGAAGGAUCCAAAGGACAUGUUAUGAACAUGGAUAUUCCAGAGGCUAGCCAAGUUGUGCCCGAGGCUAAACCAGGAAGAAGCCCAAGAAUUAGACAGACCAACAAUACAUUUGCUUGCGAUUCGAAAAAGAGGCCCAAGAAUUAGACAGGUCAAAUGUCAUUAUUAUUACGCUGACCACCAGGUUGUGAGGUUUUCGCAAGGGAUGUUUUCCAUUUACAUUCUCGACUAUUAAAAAAAUCGACCAAACAACAUAAAUUAGACAGGUGCAUGUAGCUUAACCUCCUUAUCCAUCAUUGAAACUAUAUCCAUGUCACAUAGAAAACACGUAUGUAAAACCCAUGCAACAUAGUCAUACCCAGGGUUUCGAUCUAGUGGUAAGAGCAAACUUGUGAAUUAGGCGCACGUGACAAGUUUGAACCCUGCAACUGACAAAAUCGUUAUACUUAAGUGGAAAAGUAUUUUGCCAUGGCUUCUCCACUACUAACAUUUCUUUUUUGAAUUGUCAUGACAAAAGAUGUACAAUAAAAUAGUGAGGCAACCUUUGAAACAGACAGUAACAGCUAGACCAAGUGAAUGUGAUAAAGUAGCAAACAUACCCGUUGCGGAUGCAAUUACAACUGCAAACAUUGUCAAGCACUGACAAAUACUUGCGAUUCUAUAAAGCUUCAAUACAAUUUUUUUACCUUGAGGAGUUCUACUUUGAGCUGCCAUGAGGAAGUAGAUGAAUAUGGAAACAGCUGAGAAUGUGAAGGCAAUGGCGUCGGAAACAACAAAUGCACAAAAUGAUGUUUUCCUUAUUAGAAUCGCCAUUCCUUGAUUAGGGCUAUCGGAGUCGCUCUCAAAACCUCCUGGCAAUGUGAUACCAGCGGCGAAAGUGACUGUCAUUAUCAAAGUGGCCACAACAAUAUGGAUUUGAGCUACCUUCAUGAUACUUUUGACUACUGUUUGAUCUGCCUUUUUAUCUUUAUCGUGAUCAUCUUCCCUUACCUCAAAGUCACGUUUUCCAAAUUGACCAAUGCUGCACAAAUCCUCCAUCAAUUUCUCCUAUUUUAAUCAAUAGUAAAGUUUAUAGUGAGUCGGUCGAAAAAUUUAACACAGUAACUUGUCUAACUUAGAACUAAUCUGUUCAUAGCGUAGGAGACAACAGUAUCAUGAAAUACAAUUAUAGUUUUACUUGACAUAAUGGUCAGAAAGCUGAAGAUUUGUGAGUGCACGCAAAUCGUUCUUUCGCUUGACAUAAUCCUUGAACUAGUAUAUCAAUAUUUCACCAGCAUAUACUCAAGCGCAACCAGUAUUUGAAAAACAAAUAUGCGGCCGCUUACCUUCUUUGUUGUCGCUUUGCAUGACAAUGCUAUAUCAAGUGGAGUCUGGUUUUGUUUGUUAAAUGACAUCUUGUUUGCUCUAGGAUGUUUUAUUAAUUCAGGCACAUGGUUAGCAGAGGCAGCAAGCAAAUGGAGUGGAGUGUUGCCAUCACUAUCUGGCUCAUUAACAAGGCUGUCGCACUUAUCAGAGCCUAAUAAGACGCAGACUACCUUGUCUUGAUUUUUCAAUAUGGCAACAUGAAGAGCAUUUUGAUUGUUGCUGUUAAGCGUAUCGCGACAAUCAGGGCAGUGAUUUAAUAGCUCAAUGAUCAUGUUUACAUCACCUUCACUGGCUUCAAUGUGAAUUGCUGUUGUCCAGUCAUUUUCACUGCCUGCCGGAAGGUACACUAAGGAUUUUUUCCACCACAACAUAUAAGAAACUACGUCUAUCAGUCCUAAUUUGACAGCAUAGUGCAGUGAAUUCCAACCCCAUAAGUCAGGUUCCUCUUAUAAAGGCUUAUUCCAUCGCCAUAGUGAUCUAAUGUAAUCUGGAUGUGUCAAUACGAUAAAUGCAUAAAUAAGGGGUUAGAUCUUCUCGCAAAUAUAGUUGCACGACAGACACUAAGAUUUUGUACCUUUAUGUUUCUGAAUUACUGCUGCAUGCAGAGGUGUUCUAUUAGAUGGACCUGCAGCGUAAGUUGGUUUCUUGCAGGAUUUCAAGAUGACAAUCAAAGCAUCCUGAAAACCAGAUUCAGCCGCCCGAUACAGUGGUGUCUCCUGUGCAUGAUUAGGCGGAAAUUCAAAUUCAGGAUCUUCUUUCACCAAGAGCUUAACCACAUCUAGAUGUUGGCUCCGCACGGCCUUGUGCAGGGCUGUAUCUCCACUAGCAUCUGUCAUCCUCGUGAGCUUAUCAUUAGUAUUAUGACCUUCGACACAUGCUAGUAGCACACAGACAACUUCAGUAUGCCCUUCAUUAGCUGCUAUGUGAAGAGCGCUUUCAUUUUUCUUGUUUUGACAGCAUAACAAUGCCGGAGUAAUCUUAUGGACUUCUGCCGCGAAACGGGAGUGGACAUAGAGGGCUGCGACAUGGAGGACCGUGUUGCCCUUUGGAGUGACUUGGAUCUCUUAAGAUUCACUUCAUCUUAUGAUUCUUUUCUCAUAAAAACAAACAAGUAGAGUAGUCGAUUACUUAAGAAACGAACAAAACAUGACUACAGAACAAAGAAAAUCUUGUAGCCAACUCAAAUGGCGAACAUUGAUGACAUAUCUAUCUCUCAAGAACAUUAUACAAAAAGAUUGAAGAACUGCAAGCCAGUGAGCAUGUCAAGGUUGUAACAUAGACGCGAGUCUUUAUGUAAGUUAUGUAGGAAGUUUCAGAUCACAAGGACCAUUCUUUCACCAAAGCAACAGUACUUCUUACUAACACGCAAUAUUAUCUAUAGUAUCUUUCUCUUGUAGCAUCUUUAUCAACUUCCAACGCCAAAUUGCAUGACUAACACAUAAGGCAGCUGCAACAUACUCGACUUCACAAGUUAAGAAAGGAACCAAAAAAAGAAAAAGAGAAAAACAAGAGAAUAUUAUCAUAGGUUGCUUCAUAAGCACCAAAGUGAAUGUCAUUUCUCCAAAAGAAAAGAUUGCAGUGUAAAGCAUCGUAGCUAUUCGUAGGGUCGGAGGAAGAGGACCAGACCACAGGGCUCUAUGCGUAAGAAAGUGCGUAUAAUACUACGUUAAAAAAAGUUUUUCUUGCGAAGAAGCUUGUGAUUCUUUUGUCGAAAUAAGGACAAAUAGUUUGAUUUGAUAUUUUCAAAGAAUCAACUAAGGAAAUCUCAUUUUUCGUAUAUCGAAAACAAGAACUAUCCAUAUGUUAGUUAAACCAAAAUUUGGAUUGUACAAAUUUGGAUCCAUUUUCUUUUCAUUUUUUCCUUUUUUUUUUUGGAUUUUGGGAUUUAUUUCUUGUGUGUCCUUUAUUAUAUUAUCAUCGAAAUAUUUUUGAUACGGGUAAAGUUGUUGCCAUGUGAGCAGGAGGUAACGGGUUCAGGCCUUGGAAACAGCCCCUUGCAAAAAUGUAAGUUGAGGUUGCGUAAAAUAGAUCCUUGUGAUCGGGCCCUUCCACGGACCUUGCCAAUCACGGGAGCUUAGUGCAGCGGGCUACCCUUUUUUGUUUUAAGAAAUAUUCUGGACACCACACCUUUGAUAAAAAAGAAAAGGAAAGGUAUAAGCAAGGAAUUUGUUCAACUUUUUUCACAGGGCCAUCAACAACUGUUAACAGUAAACUCCUUCUACCAAUGCUAGAACAGAUGAGAAGAAAUCACCCUAGCGUUUAGCUUCUAGUGAAAAUUGAACACGAGACUUCAUAGUGCACGACAAACUUCAUUAACCACUAGGCGACACCUUUGGAUGUUUCUUUCAUCCAGAGAAAGCAAUCUUGCUCGCGAUGUUAGUGGUGGUGGAACCACACGUAGAGUCGGAGGGUAAUGAUCAUGAAGACAGAGCUAGUCGAGAUGAAAAAUUAGUUGAGAACAUUAUGAAGACAGCUCAAAUGCAUUUAGUUGUGGAAACUAUCUAUUAAUGACACACUAAUAUUAUUAACCAUUAUAUAGAAAAAAAAGAGAAUAAUAUUAGAGUGCUCUUCUUGAUGAAUCUCCAAAAUAGAAAACUAAGUACCAUAUAUUAGUUUUUGCCAGAUCCUCUCUAUAUAUUAAGAAAUCACUGAAUAUCUAUAAAUAUUUUGACUAGAGAACCCACAGAUUUUAAGUUAUGUACAAUGGAAUUUACUACCGAAAACCAAACACUGUAUCAGUAUAACAGAGAUUAUAUAAUCAUUAACAGUUGGAAACUGGUAAAGUUGUUGUCACGUGACAAGGUCACGUGUUUUAAGUCUUGAAAACAGCUAGCAGAAAUACAAGGUAAAGUUAUUGUUGCUGGAUUUAGUCAGAUCCUGAUUGGGAUCCUGACAAUUGGUAUCAGAGCCAGGGUUCCGUGUGACCUGUGUGGUGGAGAUGACUGAGGGCACUCGCUUCAAGCUGGUGGAUGAUCGACUGGCUAGACAUGAUGAAAUUUUGAAUGAACUGCUAACUAAUCAACAGGAAGUGUGUAACACUCAAAUAGGAAUUCAAGGAACCUUAGAGCUUCUCUUAGAAAGGCUAACAGCUCUUGAGAGAGUACCGAAUAGAGCUCAGGGUGAACACCAACAAGGAGAUGGGAUACUUCCUAAUCCGGCUCUGGAAAACAGACAAAAUAGGCUGAAAAUGGUGCCAAUUCCCCCUCCCAAGUGGGAAUUACCUAGUUUUAAAGGUCAUGAACCCAAGGUGUGGCUCCGUAAAUGUGAAAGGUAUUUCACUAUAUACAGAACAUUGGACAAUCUUAAGGUUGAUGCAGCUGCGUUGUAUUUGAAUAGGGUAGCAGAGACUUGGUAUCACUCUCUAGUACUGAGUAGAGGUGUGGUUAAUUGGGUAGAGUUUAAGGAAGAGCUAAUUAGCAGAUUUGAUGAUGAAUUACUGGAUGAUAUAGUGGAACAAUUUAAUAGACUCUCUCAAACAGGAUCAGUGGAUGAAUUUCUUGCUAAAUUUGAAGACAUCAAGGCUCAAAUGCUUGUGAGGAAUCCACACCUCAAUGAUGCUCACUUCCUAUCCAAUUUUGUGGGCGCUUUGAAGGAAGAGAUUCAAUUUUCUGUUAAGAUGUUCAAACCAGCUACACUUAAACUUGCUAUUGAAAAAGCUAGGAUGCAGGAGAAGGCCAAAGAAGCUGUCCAGAGGAGAAAUAAGGUCAUAAACAAGCCCACUGGUGUUUUAAUCCACAAUCCUAAUACCAAGGUAGGGGGGAGCUUAACCACUAAACCUAAUACAUUUAAAUUGAGUCCAGAAGUUUAUGAGUAUAGGAAGAUCAACACACUAUGUUUUAGGUGUGGUCAUAAGUAUCUCGUCGGUCAUCAAUGUAAACAAAAACAGUUGAAUUGUUUGAUGGGAGAAGUAGAGUCUAUUGAAGAGAGACCUGGAGAGAUAGAGGAUCCUUCCUUUUCGGAUGUGAUUAUUGAAGGAGAAUUAGACCAGGAAGUUCAGGAGGCCGUAUGCUUAAAUGCACUAUCAGGUAACAAUCAAGGGGUGAACACUAUCCUAGUCAGUGGUACUGUGAAGAAUAGAGCACUCACCUUGUUGAUUGACUCUGGAAGAACUCAUAGCUUUCUUGAUCAAAACACUCUUAUUGAAACUGGCUAUCAAGCUAGCUAUUGUGCACCAUUAAGGGUAAUAGUAGCUGACGGAAACUAUGUAAUGUGCACCUCUCAAUGCAAAGGGUUCUUGUGGAGAAUGCAGGGAAGAUAUUUUCAAGAGGACAUGCUUAUUAUACCUGUUGGAGGGUGUGACAUGGUGCUGGGAAAUGACUGGAUGAAGAAGCACAAUCCCACUAGAUUUGAUUAUGAAAAGAAGUGUGUUACUAUUGGCAGGAAGAGCAACAAGUUAGUGUUAAAAAGAAUAGCUGAGGAAGGGAAGCUUAAUAUGGUCACUAGUGGUACUAUGAACAAGAUGCUAAAAAAGGGGCAAACUCUCAUUUCUCAUUAGUUUAUGAUGAGUGCUGGUGACAACAGAACCCAUGAGCUAGUGGAUGAUGCUAUAUUGAAGGUAUUGGACCAGUAUCCAGAUGUGUUCAAGGAGCCAAUGACCUUGACUCCUGUUAGGUCACUUGACCAUGCCAUUCCUCUCAAAUCAGGGGAUGUUCCAGUGAGUUUGAGGCCUUAUAGGUACGCUUACUACCAAAAGAAUGAGUAGGAGAAUCAAGUCACUGAAAUGAUCAACCAAGGCAUAGUUCAACCUAGUCAAUCUCCAUUCUCUUCACCAGCUUUAUUGGUCAAGAAAAAGGAUGGAUCCUGGAGAUUUUGUGUAGACUUCAGGGGGUUGAAUGAGAUCACUAUAAAAGAAAAGUAUCCAAUACCUAUAGUUGAUGACUUACUGGAUGAAUUGCAUGGUUCUGUGAUCUUUUCCAAAGUCGAUCUCAGGGUUGUAUACCACCAAAUCAGGAUGAAGACUGAGGAUGUCAUAAAACUGCGUUUAGGACCCAUGUGGGUCAUUAUGAGUUCAAGGUGAUGCCAUUUGGCAUAACCAAUGCACCUGUUACUUUCUAAGCCUUAAUGAACCAAGUUUUUCAGCCAUUCCUCCGGAGGUUUGUCUUAGUAUUUUUUGAUGAUAUACUCAUUUAUAUUGUGUCCUUAAAGGAGCAUGUUGAUCAUCUGAUAGCUGUGUUUGAUACAUUAAGAGACCACUCCUUGUAUGCCAAAAGGUCCAAAUGUUCAUUUGGGCAUCCUAAGAUUGAAUACCUAGGUCAUAUUAUCAAUAGAGAUGGAGUAUCUACUGAUCCUGCUAAGAUCAAGGCUAUGUUGGAGUGGCCUACUCCUAAGUCCUUGAAGGCUCUUAGUGGAUUUUUAGGGCUGACAGGUUAUUACAGGAAAUAUGUGUCUGGUUAUGGUGCAAUUUGCGUACCUCUUACAGACUUGCUAAAAAAUGCCUUUAAUUGGAAUGAAGAAGCUGAUAUAGCAUUUAAAGCUCUCAAAACUGCUAUGUCCUCAACACCUGUACUUAUAUUACUCGACUUUGCCAAGGAAUUUGUUGUGGAAACAGAUGCUAGUCAUUAUGGUAUUGGUGUUGUACUCAUGCAGGAAGGCUAACCAGUGGCAUACUUCAGUAAAGUGUUAGCUCCAAAGCACAAGGGUAAAUCUAUAUAUGAAAAAAGAGUAUAUGGCCUUGUUGAAUGCAGUGGACAAAUGGAGGUACUACCUCCAGUUCAAACACUUUGUGAUCAGGACUGAUCAUCAUAGUUUGAAGUAUUUGAUAAAGCAAAGAGCUACCUCAGCCUUACAACAGAAGGGGCUUACUAAAUUGUUGGGACUUGAUUAUGAGAUCCAAUACAAGAAGGGUGCUGAGAGUAAGGUUGCUGAUGCCCAGAAGAUCAAGGAAAGCUGUUGGUUAUGAGUGUGAUGAUUCCAACUUGGAUGCAAGAGGUCACUAAUAGCAAUUCUGAGGAUCCUCGGGUGCAAGAAAUAAUUGCGCAAGUCACUAUGGAUUUGCAAGGUCCUAGUUUAUGGCAUUAUACUUCUGGAGUUUUGAGAAGAAAAGGAAAGGUUUACACUGGAGAUACUGGAGGCUUAAGACACCAUUUAUUGACUACAUUCCAUGCUUCUCCAAUGGGGGGUCAUUCAGGGCAGCUAGGCACCCUCAAGAAACUGUCUCAACUCUUUUAUUGUCCUAACAUGAAACAGAUGGUCAAUGAUUUUGUUGCAGGUUGUGAAGUGUGUCAAAGAAAUAAAGAUGAUAAUCCAGCUUAUCCUGGACUUUUGCAGCCACUACCUAUUCCUAAUCAAGCCUGCAGCCAAAUUAGCAUAGACUUUAUUGAGGGACUUCCUAAAUCUAGAGGCAAAGAGGUGAUCCUAGUAGUAGUAGACAGAUUGACCAAGUAUUCACACUUUAUUGCUUUAUCACACCCUUAUACUUCUGUCACAGUAGCUGAACUUUAUUGGAAUAGGAUACAUUGUUUACAUGGUGUUCUUGAUUCUAUAGUGACUGAUAGGGAUAGAGUUUUUCCUAGCCAUUUUUGGCAAGCUCUCUUCAAACUCUUGGGCACACAACUACACUAUAGCACGGCUUACCACCCCCAAAGUGAUGGCCAGACUGAGAGAGUGAAUAAAUGUCUAGAGAAUUAUCUCAGGUGCAUGGUGUCUAGCAGACCUACUCUUUGGGAGCCCUGGCUUACUGCUGCUGGGUGGUAGUAUAAUACUAACUUCCACACUAGCCUGCGGUGCACUCCUUUUGAAGCUUUUUGUAUGGGUAUUCACCUCCAUAUCUGUCCAUGGGACCACUAAUAGAGACUAAUGUUCCAGUGGCUGAGGAUACUGUUUUGAAGAGACAACAGAUGUAUCAACUUCUUAAGGACAAUUUGAGCAAAGCACAAGAGAGGAUGAAGCAUUAUACUGAUAGGAAGAGGUCAGAAAGGGAGUUCCAGGUGGGAGACAUGGUCUACCUUAGGCUUCAACCUUACAGGCAAACCUCUAUAGCAUUGAGAAAAAAUUUGAAGCUUUCGUCUAAAUAUUAUGGUCCUUACAAGGUCAUUUCCAAAACUGGAUCAGUGGCUUACAAACUUGAAUUACCUGCAGACUCUAAAGUACAUCCUGUGUUCCAUGUAUCCCUUCUAAAAAAGAAGGUAGGUUCCAAGGUGGUGGUGCAAUCGACUCUGCCUAUUACUGGGAUGAUGGUCAAUUUUUAGUCCAACCUGUGGCUAUUUUACAAAGACAGAUGAUCAAAAAGAAUAAUGUGGCUGGAGUGAAGGUUUUGGUUCAAUGGUCAAAUUUGCCGCCGGAAGAUGCUACCUGGGAAGACUAUGACCUCCUUAAGGCUAAGUUCCCUAAUUUUGAUUCUCAAGGAGGAAGAAAUGUAAUGAUCCUACUUAGUAUAGCUUAGCAUAUUUUAAUUAAGCAAAUAAAGAAAGCGGGCAGUGGGGAUCGUAGUUGAAGCACAGAAGGAGUGACUAACUCACUGACCUGGACGACUGAGAUUUAAUUGUUAUUAAUGAGGUGCAAGGGUGGAGAUCAUGCCACGUCGCCAGAAGUUGUUAUAUAACGACUAGUGGAGAGAGAAAACACAAACGAUAAUCUGGUAUUUCCUCUCCUUCCUCGUGCUCUCUUCUCUCUCUUCUCUUUCUUCUUCUCUACUCUAAACUUCUGAUCCUCCCCUUCUCUUCUCUGCAGAUUCAAGAACUUCCAUGGAUGCCCAUCUACCCUAGUUAUAGUAGAUUAAUUCAGUUCUUAAUUUCCUUAUAAUUGAUAUCCAUUUUUCAUUUUUUUGAAGUAAACCGAACAUUGUCCCAAAAAUUUUGAGUUUUUUUACUUUUAUUGUUGCUGAAUUUAGUCAGAUCCUGAUUGGGAUCCUGACAGAUGUGUGGGACAAAGAGAUAGGAUUAGAAAUGAAGAUAUUCGAGUAUGAGUGUCCUUGAUGAAGAACAAGAUGCAGCAAGCGAGACUGAGAUGGUCCAGGCAUGUAAAGAGGAGAUCAGGAGCCGAUGCCCCGAUAUGGAGGUGUGAGAGAUUGGCUCUGAAUGGUUUCAAGAGAGAUAGAGUAGACUGAAGAAGUAAUGGGGAGAACUGAUUAGACAAGAUAUGAUGUAGUUUCAGCUAAUUAGGGACAUGACCUAAGACGGGAGGUUAUGGAGGACACAAAUUCGGUAGAGUUGUCUCGCUUUUCCUUCCAUACUAGUUAGUCGUAGUACUACUCUUGUAGUUUCUCUUCCUUCAAUUUCUAUAAUUAUCUAUUACUCUUUUGUGCUUCGAUUAUCAUAGUAUUCUGUUGUAGUUACUGUUCCAAUUUUUUUUUUAAGACUGCUUUGUCAUGUUCUCUGUGCCCUUGGAAUAACUGGUAAAGUUGCUGUCAUGUGACGGGUUCAAGCCCUGGAAACAGCUUAGUGCACCGGGCUGCUUUGAAUUGUUUUUCCUUGCGCUGAAGGUCCAUUUAUAAUUCCCCAAACUCCAGUUGUGGAAUUUCACUGGGUAUAUUGUUGUUGUUGUACGAUGAAUUAUUUAGUGAAGGUACAUUGGUUCUAUAGCAUUUUCAGUGAUGAAAAAUGAUCUGCUGCGACCGCUUAUAAUUUAAAUAGAAGAAAAUGAUCUUACAUAGAUUGUUAUAUCAUGUGAUAAAGGAUGUAUAACUAAAAUAACAUGUAAUUCACGGCAUUGGGUAAAAACUGAAAUAUGUAGUUGAAUUAUAUAUAUGCAAGCAAUAAGUACAAGUAGUAGCUACUGGCUUACAUUCUUCAUCUCACUCUCAUCAUAUAUAUCUACAACUAUAAAUAACAACCAAGAAGUACAAUAAAAUAGAGAGGCAACUUAUGAAAUAGACAGUAACGGCAAGACCAAGUGAAUGUGAUAAAGUAGCAAACAUACCAGUUGCAAAUGCAAUCACUACUGCUAACAUUGACAAGCACUGAAAAAUAGCUGCGAGAUUAUAAAACUUCCAUACAAUUUUUUUCCGUUGAGGAAUUCUACUUUGAGCUGCCAUGAGGAAGUAGAUGAAUAUGGCAACAGCUGAGAAUGUGAAGGCAAUGGCAUUGGAAACAACAAAUGCACGAAAUGAUGUUUUCCUUAUUAGAAUCGCCAUCCCUUGAUUAGGGCUAUCAGAGUUGCUCUCAAAACCUCCUGGCAAUGUGAUACCAGCGGCGAAAGUGACUGUCAUUAUCAAAGUGGCCACAACAAUAUGGAUUUGAGCUACUUUCAUAAUACUUUCAAUUACUGUUUGAUCUGCGUUUUCAGCUUUAUCUUGAUCAUCUUUCCUCAGUUGCAUUGCGACUCCUAUACCCGUUUGAUCAUUUGGAUUGGACAUGGACUUGUACUUCCGCUUUACCUCAAAGUCACGUUUUCCAAAUAGGCCAUUGCUAAACAAAUCCUCCACCAAUUUCUCCUAUUUUCAUCAAUAGUACAGUUUAUAUUGAGUCUGUCAAAAAAUUUAACACAGUAACUUGAUUAACUGAGAACUAAUCUGUUCAUAGCUUAGGAGGCAACGAUAUCAUGUAAAAAUUGAAUUACAGUUUUACUUGAUGUUUCAACACCACAUCAAGAAUGGUCAGAAAUAGAAGUUGGAUCUAUAAAAGCAUUGUUAUUAAAAGUUAAAAGAGUAGUCCAUAGCAACGCAACCAGUAUUUGAAAAACAAAUGUGUGGCUGCUUACCUUCUUUGUUGUCGCUUUGCAUGACAAUGCUAUAUCAAGUGGAGUCUGGUUUUGUUUGUUAAAUGACAUAUUCUUUGCUCUAGGAUGGUUUAUUAAUUCAGGCACAUGGUUAUCAGAGGCAGCAAGCAAAUGGAGAGGAGUGUUGCCGUCGCUAUCUGGCUCAUCAACAAGGCUGCUGCACUUAUCAGAGUCUAAUAAGAAGCGGACUACAUUGUCUUGAUUGUUCAAUACGGCAACAUGAAGAGCAUUUUGAUUGUUGCUGUUAAGCAUAUCCCAACAAUCAGGGCACUGAUUUAAUAGCUUAUAUAUCAUGUAUACGUAACCUUGACUGGCUGCAAUGUGAAUUGCUGUAGUCCAGUCAUUUUCACUGCCUGCCGGAAGGUACACUAAGGAUUUUUUCCACUCCAGCAUAUCAGAUACUACGUCCGUCAAUCCUAAUUUAACAGCAUAGUGCAGUGAAUUCCAACCCCAUAAGUCAGGUUCCUCGCAUAAAGGUUUAUUCCAACGCCAUAGUGAUCUAAUGCAAUCUGGAUGUGUCAACACGAUAAAUGCAUAAAUGAGGGGUUAGAUCUUCUCGCAAAUAUAGUUGCACAGCAGACACUACAAAAUCAUCAGCAAAAAUUGCAGAUAACUAUUUUUUAGUCAAAGAAUAUAACGUUGCCCAGAUAUUGAAAUGACAUUACUCAACCCACCCCUCCUCUAAGUCUUCUUCUCUUCCCUCCUAUUUUUUCUUACGGCAGAAUCGCUAUUCAGGUGGAUAAAAACUGCUGGACAUUAAAUAACCACAUCACGAUUGAUUUUGGUUGGCUAGUUUAGAAAGUCACAGGGUUAGGCCAAAACUUCUUUGUUCACAUCAUUCGCUACACCUUGGCGAGAUAGUCUUUUGGAAAGGAGAAGAGGGAUUGGGGUAGUUGUCAGAGAUAUUAAAUAGUAAGAAAAUUAGUCCAUUGGAUUAUAAGUUGAUGCAGAUAAUGGAGGAUCCUAGUGAGACUAUCGACAUGAUUAAUCCAUAUUAUGGGAAAUUCAACUAAAGUUAGAUGUUGAUACAGCAAAUAGCAAAAAUUAUGUACCUUUAUGUUCCUGAAUUGCUGCUGCAUGCAGAGGCGUUCUAUUAGAUGGACCUGCAACAUAAGUUGGUUUCUUGAAGGAUUCCAAAAUUUUAAUCAAAGCAUCAUGAAAACCAGAUUCAGCCGCCAGAUACAGUGGCGUCUCCUGCGCAUGGUUAGGCGGAAAUUCAAAUUCAGGAUCUUCUGUCACCAAGAGCUUAACCACAUCUAGAUGUUGGCUCCUCACGGCCUUGUGCAGCGCUGUAUCUCCACUAGCAUCCAUCAUCCUCGUGAGUUUCUCCUUAGUAUUAUGAUCUUCGACACAUGCAAGUAGCACACGUACUACUUCAGUGUGCCCUUCAUUAGCUGCUAUGUNNNNNNNNNNACAGCAAAACAAUGCUGGAGUAAUCUUAAGGACUUCUUCCACAAAAUGGGAGUGGCCAUAGAGGGCUGCGACAUGGAGGACCGUGUUUCCCUUUGGAGUGACUUGGUAGCCAUUUUCUUCAUCCCUUUUCAGAUGAUCAGCAAGUAGAAAAUUGGCAUCUCCGAUAUUGCCUCUCAUCGCAGCAUUAUAUAGGGUCGGAUCCAUUCCCUUUGAUUUGGAGUUUUAUCCAAGAACUCACAAUGACAAUCCUGUGAGUCCUUUCUCUGGAUGAAACAUUAUUAUAUAGGAAAAACUAAUUAGAUUCUUAAUGAAUCCCAAAGAAGAAAGGGAUCUGGUGUUUGCCUUGAUCACAAGAAAGGGAUUUUGAUGUUUUCGUAUUUCUCUUUCGUGUCAAAAGUGAAAGAAUAUCAUGAACAUAAACAGUUUUAAGAACUUAUUAAACCACCUAAGACAAAAAGAAUGCUUGGAUCUCUUAAGAUUCACUUCGUCUUAUGAUUUUUUUCUCAUAAAAACAAACAAGUAGAGCAGUCGAUUACUUAAGAAACGAACAAAACAUGACUACAGAACAAAGAAAAUCUUGUUGCCAACUCAAAUGUGCUAUAGAGGAAACUUACCGAAACAAUAAUGGCGAUCAUUGGCUCCCAUUUCCCCAUGAGACUGGCGGAUGUUGCUCCUUUUCCCUUUACUCAACACAUGCUCUUCGCGGAUCUACAACAUCCAAACUGAAAACCAGCCGCACAUUCGUGAUAAAUUUAAUUUGAAUUCAUAAAUAGUGAAGAAGAGGUCAAUAGAAGGAUACCUAGAAAAAUGCUCCGAAAAAGGUCUCUUAGCAUUGUUGCAUAAACACAACAUAUUCCUCUAUAGAAGGCCCUAUGGAGUAAAGGGGAGUGGGUGAAUUCUAGGAAAAAGAGGGAGCGAGCCUAUAUAAAUAGAAAAUGAAAUAAAGAAAAUUUCAUGAAUAGAUAGAGUCAACGGUACAACAAACAGUGCUGCACAUGAAAUCUUUGCGGAGGGGCUCAAAUUAGCUACCCUGGCACUUAAACAACCCACCCAAAAUUUCAGGUACUGAUACAAAUACGAUCGUGAUCAUGAACGUUUUUUGGAGUAUAUUAAAGGCAACCGAGAGAGUGCACACGUGUAAGUGUGAAGAAGGCCCAAAGCCGCCCAUAUGGUGCACUCAAUGGGUGCCCAUUUUGAAGACCAGUCAUUAAAGGGUCUUUAGUCUUUUGUCUCUUAUUGUAAUGUAAUAUAAAUAGAACCUUGUAGGGUUUUAGUUCCUUAGUUUUUGAAUGUUAUUGAAAGAAGUUCCUCUAGAGAAAGUGAGACCAACGGUAACUAGGGUGAUACUAGUGUGGACCAGUGUUGCAAAACAUUGUUAGAAACCUUGGUGCUUGAGAGGUGGACACCCUCUUGUGUCAUCGUAGAGUGUUGGUGUUGAUAUUAAGAGUGUUAAGGGUCUUGGUAUUUAAUAUAUACCUUGGUUCUUCUGAUCAAAGCAAACAAUAAAUAACUUUCUUUUGAUCAAAGGCAAAGAUCUGUGUGGUGUUCACAAUAUUUCUAUAUAAUAUUUCAUCCGGAGAAAGCAAAGAACUCACCAGCAAACCAAAUAAAAGAAACGAAAAUGGAUCCAACUUUGUACAAUGCUGUGGUGGGAGGCAAUAUCAGUAAUGGUGAUUUUUCACUUGCUGAAUAUCUGAAAAGGGAUGAAGAAAAUCCGUACCAAGUCACUCCAUCACUCAACACAAUCUUACACAUGGCCGCUCAUUAUGGCCACUCCCAUUUCGUGGCAGAAGUCCUUAAAAUUAGUCCAGCAUUGUUAUGCCAUCGGAACAAGAAGAAUGAAACUGCACUUCACGUAGCAGCUAAUGAAGGUCACAUGGAAGUAGUCCACUCGCUACUUAGUAUGGAGGAGCAUCAUAAGGAGACGCUCAUGAGGAUGACAGAUGAGAAUGGAGAUACAGCACUGCACAAGGCCGUGCGGAGCCAACAUCAAGAUGUAGCCAGACUGUUGGUGAAAGAAGAUCCUGCAUUCGAAUUUCCAUCCAACAAGGCUUGGGAGACACCGCUGUAUCUGGCUGCUGAGUCUGGUCUUCGUGAAGCUUUGAGUGAAAUCUUGAACUCAUGCAAGCAACCAACUUCUUCUGCAGGUCCAUUAAAUCGAACACCUCUGCAUGCAGCAGUAAUUCAGGAACACAUGGGUAUGUACAUAUUUUUUUGACACUACUCUCACUAUGUUAAAAUCUCUUUUUGAUUCUUGUUACUAUCUGUUGUAUCUUGUACUUCGACUAUCGUAUUAUUUUGUUCCAGUACUGUUCUGUUUUGGACUGUUUUUCUUGAGCUGAAAGUCUAUCGGAAACAGCCUCUCUGCCUCCGAGGUAGUGGUAAGGUCUGCGUACACUCUACCCUUCCCCGGACCCACUUAGAGACUACACUGGGGAGUCUAAAUUUGCGUUGAUUUAACUCCUUAUCAUCAUCAUCUUUGAUGCAUGCAUCCAGAUUGCGCGAGAUUGCUAAUGCAAUGGAAUAGAUAGUUGUGUGAGGAACCUGACGUGGGGGGUUGGAAUUCGCUGCACUUUGCUGCUCUUCUGAGAUUGAAAGAAAUAGUUUCCGAUAUGCUGGUGUGGAAAAGAUCCUUAGCCUACCUUCCAGCAGGCAGUGAAAACGACUGGACAACAGCAGUUCACAUUGCAGCCGGUGCAAGUAAGAUGUUUUACAUGAGCUAUUAAAUCACUGCCCUGAUUUCUGGGAAAUGCUCGACAGCAAUGGCCGAAAUGCUCUUCACGAAGCCAUAUUCUGCAGUCAAGCAAAUGUGGUGAAUUAUUUAUUGAAGUCCACAAAGUGGGAUAAGCUUGUCGAGGAUCCAGACAACGAUGGCAACACACCUCUCUAUUUGCUUGCUUCCUCUAAUUUUUGGGGCUACGUGCCUCUGGAAUUAAAAGAUCAUCCCCGAGCAAAGAAGAUGUCAUAUAACAAGGAAAACAAGACUCCCUUUGACGUAGCAGUGUCUUGCACAGAGUGGACGGCAGACAAGGAUAGAAUCGCACCUAGCUUGUAUCACGAUUUCCUUAAUUCCAUUGCUCAGCUGGGACGACGUUCACCCAAGCUGAACCAGAUGGAUCGGCAGAAGAUAAUUUUCAACCAAGCUAAGGAACGCGACAUAAAUAUCAAAGGUAUCUUGUCAGCAGCUCAAAUGCAACUAGUUGUAGCUACUCUAUUAGUCACAUUCACCUUUACGGCUGGUUUUACAUUACCGAGAAGUUUUGAAAGCGAUGACAAUAGCCCUAAUAAGGGGAUGGAAGUUCUAAUAAAAAAAACAGCAUUCCGUGCAUUUGUUAUAACGGAUGCCAUCGCCUUUGCAUGCUCCGCUGGUGCUAUAUUCAGAUACUUCUAUAUGGCGACAAAUCCUCGUCCAAUGUUUUAUCAGGAUUUGGAUUAUUUGUGGUCUCUCAGUAAAGUUGGAGCUAGGUCGCAGCUCGUGGCAAUGUCAGCAGUUGUAAUUGCAUUUGUAACUGGUAUGUAUGCUACUUUAGCACAUUCAGUUGGUCUCGCUGUUACUGUCUGUGCCUUCGGUUGCAUCUCUUUCAUUAUGUACGUGUGGGCAGUGCUGAGGCCAGUAUGGUGGAUACCUAUAGCAAAAAGGUGAUGUAUAAGGUAAUGUAUACGUACAAAAAGUAUUUUUGACAUGUAUACUUUGUGUAAUUUUCUAUAUACAUAAUAUAAAUUCAUUGGUUGCACCUCUUUCCUUGUGUACAAACUUCUGUUAUGUUCCUUGAACUGAACUCGCGAUAUAUAUUAGUAGUAUGUGCAAUAAAGACUAAUGAAAUUCAUGAACAUGAGCGGAGACAAUGAUUUCAAGUGUUAGUAAUUGAAUUCCUAAAGAUUACAAAUACGAGUCUAGAACCGCUGAAGGAUCCAAAGGAUACCCCAGAGGCCAGCCAGGCUGUUGUGCCCGAGGCUAAACCACGAAGAGGCCCAAGAAUUAGACAUACCAAUUAAAAUUACUGGAGGUCCACGUCACUAAUUAAAAUUAUGUGAAUGUCCCAAUUAAGUUAACUAAACAACUGAAUAUAUUUCUAGAUGUUCUUAGGCCAAGCUCCAAUAAUUGUAAAAAAUAAGUGAGCCCUAAAAUAUUCUUUUGCCAAGCCUUACAAACCUCAAAAUGACUAGUCAAUCAUUCUCUGUUGCAUACAUUUUGGUCGAUUACUGUUUAUGCUUCUUGGAUUUUUCAUUCAAUGCUAUGACGGGUGAUCUUCCUCAUAGAUUCAAGGCACUGACUAGUAUGAACAAAAUGUAAGAGAAAAUAAAUUAGUUCUUACUAAUUUUUUUAAUUAAAUAUGACGUGGAACUCUAGUAAGAUAACACAUGGAAAAGCUAUUUUUCAAAAACUACCAUUAACAAGCACAGGCAUGUAUGAACCUGUUUUGUAACGACAAUGACAUAAACGAGCCAAACUUUUAACGGAUGGUAUAAAUGAGUCAUUUCUUAUAGUUUGAUAGCAUAUUUGAGCCUUUUCUCUUUGUUUUAAUUAAUGAUGUGGACCUCUAGUAAGAAUACACGUGGCAAAGCUGUUUUUGAAAACCACCGUUAACAAGUAAUGGCAUGGAUGAACCUGUUUUGUUACGGCGAUAACAAAACGAGCCAAACUUUUAACGGAUAGAAUAAAUGAGCCAUUUCUAAUAGUUCGAUCGCAUAUUUGAGCCUUUUCUCUUUUUUUUAAUUAAUGAUGUGGACCUCUAGUAAGACGACACGUGUCAAGCUGUUUUGAAAAACCACAGUUAACAACUAAUGGCAUGAAUGAACCUGUUUUGUAACGGCGAUGGCAUAAAUGAGUCAAACUUUUAACCGAUGGCAUAAAUGUGCCAUUUCAAAUAGUUCAUGUCAUAUUUGUGCCUUUUCUCAUAUCGAUACAAUCAGCUCAAACACUUUUAAGAAUAGGAUAAGCUACAUACGUAACCCAAAAGUUCUUGAAAUAGAUUAGAGGCAUCAAGAGCAAUUGGAAUAUGAAAAACUUCAAUCGUAUAGUUUAUAGAUCUCGCGAUGCCUUUUUUCCAUUUAAAAGUAUAUUUUAUAUUGUAAAUUUUAUUCAAAAUUGACUAGAAUUUUAUUUAUCAAAAUUUUCCUUAUCUGAAGUGUAUAAAUCCCUAAAAUUUAGGAGUUCAAGAUUAAUUAUUAUUUUUCAUAUAUAUAUAUAUAUAUAUAUGAAGCAUAUCAAAUUUUAUUUUAUCCCCGUUUGUCUGUUAAAAAUUGAACGAAAAGAUGUGAAAACUUCAAAAGUAGUUAGCUUUGUUUUGUAGAGCUCCUGUUAUUAAUUUGAUUAACAAAUUAUGAUAUUAUUUCUUCUAUGAAUAUUGAAUAUCCAGAUCUUAUGAAAUUUAUUGUUAGCACAAAAAAAUUUAUGAAAUUAAUUAGACUAUGUUUUUCUUAUAAAAAUAUUUUAGUAAUUUCUUGAAAAUAUUUUUUCAUCUUUUAAAAAACUGUUUAUGAAUAAUAUGAAUACACAAUUGAUGAAUAAAAUCUUGAAGAUAAGUUAACUUUACCGGUCUUCUUUUGUUUAAUCGAUUCAGGGUACCACAAUGUAUAUUGCUUUGCGGCUUAGGAACUUACCAAUAUGAUUUGGAGACUAAAUGUCAAAUUAGGCAAGUGCUUUGAUGUCUAACAUAUGAUAGAGAUAAAGGAGAUGAAUAAAUAUUUUAUUAGGUAUAUUCUCUUACGAAAGAACUUUUUUUCUUUUUGUAUAUAAUUUAAAUGCUUGAUGUCAGACACACGUGCAACGCACGUAUCCUAGACUAGUAACUAAAAUAACAUGUAAUGGACUAAAAAACCAUAUCGGUCGUAUGUAAUUCAAGGUAUUGGGUAAAAACUGAAAUAUAUGUAGUUGAAUUAUACAUUUGGAAGCAAUAAGUAGAAACUCUCAUCACAAAAAUCUACAAAUAUAGAUAAAAACCAAGAAGUACAAUAAAAUAGAGAGGCAACCUAUGAAACAGACAGUAACGACAAGACCAAAGGAAUGUGAUAAGGUAGCAAACAUACCCGUUGCGAAUGCAAUUACAACUGCUAACAUUGACAAGCACUGAAAAAUACCUGCGAGAUCAUAAAACUUCUCUACAGCUUUCUUAUUUUGAUGAAAUCUGCCAUGAGGAAGUAGAUGAAUAUGGCAACACCUGAGCAUGUGAAGGCAAUGGCAUCAAAAACAACAAAUGCACGAAAUGCUGUUUUCCUUAUUAGAAUCGCCAUCCCUUGAUUAGAGCUAUAAGGGUCGCUCUCAAAACCUCCUGGCAAUGUGAUACCCGCGGCGAAAGUGACAGUCAUUAUCAAAGUGGCCACAACAACAUGGAUUUGAGCUGACUUCAUAAUACUUUCGAUUACUGUUUGAUCUGCCUUUUUAGCUUUAUCUUGAUUAUCUUCCCUCAGUUGUAUUUUGACUCCUGUUCCCGUUUCAUCAUUUGGAUUGGGCAUGUACUCGUACUUCCGCUUUACCUCAAAGUCACGUUUUCCAAAUCGGCCAAUGCUACACAAAUCCUCCACCAAUUUCUCCUAUUUUUAUCGGUAGUACAGUUUAUAUUGAGUCUUGUCGAAAAAUUUAACACAGUAACUUGUCUAACUGAGAAUUAAUCUGUUCAUAGCUUAGGAGGCAACGAUAUCAUGUAAAAAUUGAAUUACAAUUUUACUUGACCACAUCAAGAAUGGUCAGAAAGAUAAGUUGGAUCUAUAAAAGCAUUGUUAUUAAAAGUUAAAAGAGUAUUCCAUAGCAAUGCAACCAGUAUUUGAAAAACAAAUAUGUGACUGACUUCUUACCUAUUUUGUCGUUGCUUUGAAUAUCAAGUGGAGUCUAGUUUUGUUUGUUAAAUGACAUCUUCUUUUCUCUAGGAUGGUUUAUUAAUUCAGGCACAUGGUCACCAGAGGCAGCAAGCAAAUGGAGAGGAGUGUUGCCGUCGUUGUCUGGCUCAUCAACAAGGUUGUCGCACUUAUCAGAGCCUAAUAAGACGCGGACUACCUUGUCUUGAUUGUUCAAUACGACAACAUGAAGAGCAUUUUGAUUGUUUCUGUUAAGCAUAUCCCAACAAUCAAGGCAGUGAUUUAAUAGCUUAUUUAUCAUGUUUACGUCACCUUCACUGGCUGCAAUGUGAAUUGAUGUCGUCCAGUCAUUUUUAGUGCCUGCCGGAAGGUACACUAAGGAUUUUUUCCACUCCAGCAUAUAAGAAACUACAUCUAUCAGUCCUAAUUGGAACAGCAUAAUGCAGUGAAUUCCAACCCCAUAGUGAUCUAAUGCAAUCUGGAUGUGUCAACACGAUAAAUGCGUAAAUAAGGGGUUAGAUCUUCUUCCAAAUAUAGUCCUAAUUUAACAAUCCUGUGAGUCCUUUGCUUUCUCUGGAUGAAACAUUAUUAUAUAUAGGAAAAAUUAAUUAGAAUCUUAAUGAAUUUCAAAGAAUAAAGGGAUCUAGUGCUUGCCUUGAUCACAAGAAAGGGAUUUUGAUGUUUUCAUAUUUCGCUUUCAUGUCAAAAUUUGGAUUGUACAAAUUUGGAUCCAUUUUCUUUUCAUUUUUUCCUUAUUUUUUUGGAUUUUGGGAUUUAUAAAUAUUUCAAAUUAUGAUCUUUUGUGUCCUUUAUUAUAUUAUCAUAGAAAUAUUCCGGUCUCCGGACACGGGUAAAAUUCCUGUCAUGUGAUCAGGAGGUCACGGGUUCAACUCUUGGAAACAGCUUCUUGUAGAAAUGUAAGUUGAGGUUGCGUAUAAUAGAUCCUUGUGCUCGGGUCCUUCCCCGAACCCUGCACAUAGCGGGAGUUUAGUACACCAAGCUGCCCUUUUUCUUUUUUUAGAAAUAUUCUGGACACCACACAAACAUUUGCCUUUGAUAAAAAUAGAAAAGCUAAGGUAUUUAAUUUGUUCUUUGCUGUAGUUGGAAGCAAGGAAUUUGUUUAACUCUUUUCACAGGCCAAUCAACAACUGGUACCAGUAAACUCUGUCUACCAAUACUAGAACAGAUCGUGAGAAGAAAUCACCCUAGCGUUUAGCUUCUAGUGAAAAUUGAACCCGAGACCUUAUAGUACACAACAAACUUCAUUGAACACUAGGCGAUACCUUUGGAUGCUCCUAACUAGCAUCUUUGAAUUAAGACUAUAAUUGUUUCUUUCGUCCAGAGAAAGCAAUCCUGUUCGCGAUGUUAGUGGUGGUGGAACCACACGUAGAGUCGGAGGGUAAUAAUCAUGAAGACAGAGCUAGUCGAGAUGAAAAAUUAGUCAAAAACAUUAUGAAGGCAGCUCAAAUGCAUUUAGUUGUGGCAACUAUCUAUUAAUGACACACUAAUAUUAACCAUUAUACAGAAAAAAAGAAUAAUAUUAGAAUACUCUGCUUGAUGAAUCUCCAAAAUAGAAAACUAAGUACCACUAUUUUCCUUUGACCCAAAGAAAGGCAUUUGUUACCUAAACUUUGCCUUCAUCAAAAGAAAGGGAUAACUUCUUGUUUGGGUUUUAUGUUUUAUAACUAAGUAAAGCAUCUAGCACCCCCCGAACUAUGACCAAAUUUUUUACAACACACUCCAACUUCACAGAGGUCCUAUUACCCCCUUGAACUCAAUGUUAGCGUAUUUUUGUAAAUUGCAAACACAGGAUUCUCGGCCUGAAUAUGUAUAUAUGUGUAAGUCUCUGUGUGUGUAGCUGAUAAAGUUGGAGUAACUGGCAAAGCUGUUGUCAUGUGACUAGAAGGUCAUGGGUUCAAGUCUUGGAAACAACUGGCAGAAAUGCAAGGUAAGGCUGCGUACAAUACACCCUUGUGGCAGGCCCUUCUCUGAACCAUAGUGGGAGCUUUAGUGCACCCUUUUUUGUCAUGCUCUCUACAGUCUUUUUUCAUGGCUUCUCCGCUUCUAACAUUUCGUUUUUGUACUGCUUUGAAUUGUUAUUCCUUGCACUGAAGGUCUAUAAAAAUUCGGAAAGCUCUUUGUCUUCCAAUGUAGGGGAUAAGGUCUGCCUACCUUCUGCGCUACCCAAACUCCACUUGAGGAAUUUCACUGGGUAUAUUGUUGUUGUUGUACGAUGAAUUAUUUUGUGAAUGUACAUUGGGUCUAUAGCAUUGUCGGUGACGAAAAAAAAUGAUCUCCUGUGACCGCUUAUUAUUUGAAUAGAAGAAAAUGAUCUUUGUUAUAUCAUGUGAUAAAGAAUGUAUUACUAAAAUAACAUGUAAUGGACUAAAAAGACACAUCUGUCAUAUGUAAUUCAAGGUAUUGGGUAAAAACUGAAAUAUGUAGUUGAAUUAUACAUCUGCAAGCAAUAAGUACAAGGGAUGUUUUUUAUUUACAUUCUCGACUCUUAAAAAGAGCGACCUGAUAAUCUAUCUCCGCUAUGUUCUUAGUAAACAAGCAGCAUAUUGUCAAAUGUCAUUACUAUUACGCUGACCACCAGGUUGUGAGGCUUUCACAAUGGAUGUUUUUCAUUUAGAUUCUCGGCUAUUAAAAAGAGCGACCAAACAACCAAAAUUAGACAGGUGCACGUAGCUUAACCGCCUUAACCAUCAUUGAAACUAUAUCCGUCACAUUGAAAAUGCGUAUGUCAAAAACCCAUGCAACAUAGUCUUACCCAGGGUUUCGAUCUAGUGGUAAGAACAGACUUGUGAAUUAGGCGCACGUGACACGUUUGAACCCUGCAACUAGCAAAAUCGUUACACUUAAGUGGAAAAGUAUUUUUCCAGGACUUCUCCACUUCUAACAUUUCUUUUUUGAAUUGGAAAAGAAUACCUGGAUCUCUUAAGAUUCACUUCAUCUUAUGAUUCUUUUCUCAUAAAACAAGCAAGUAGAGUAGUCAAUUACUUAAGAAACGAACAAAACAUGACUACAGAACAAAGAAAAUCUUGUAGCCAACUCAAAUAAGCUACAGAGGAAACUUAUCGAAAUAAUAAUGGCGAUCAUUGCUCCUAUAUAUUAACCUGACUCAACAUAUAUAUGCUCCUCGCGGAACUACAAAAUCCAAACUGAAAACCAGCAGCACAUUUCCAACUAAUUGAAUUUGAAUUCAAGAAUAGAGAAGAAAAGGUUGAUAGAAGGAUACAGAGUAAAAUGCUCCGAAAAAGGUCUUUUACCAUUGUUGCACUAAACACAACAUAUUCCUCUACUGGCACUAAAACAACCCAUACAAAAUUGCAGGUACUGAGUUUAGCAAGGAUUUUUUGAUGAGCAGCGUAAAGAAACAUAAUAGAAUUAAAGCCUCAAUCGUAUCGGAGAGGCAGUGGCAUAUUUGAUUUGAGAGAGGAAAACUCCGAUCGUACAUCAUAUAGCUUACUCUAAAAUAAGGCAUCUUCAAUGAAUGAAAUUAAAAACCAUGACCAUAUUUUACAAUAAGAACUCAUAUUAAUUUUGAAACAAGAUGUUGAUCACAUAUCUAUCGUUCAAGAAAAAAAAAAGGGCAACCCGGUGCACUCAAGCUACCGCUAUGCGCGGUGUCCGGGGAAGGGCCCCACCAAAAGGGUGUAUCGUACGCAGCCUUACCUUGCAUUUUUGCCAAAGGCUGUUUCUAAGGCUUGAACCCGUGACCUCUUGGUCACAUGGAAGCAACUUUACCAGUUACUCCAAGGCUCCCCUUCCUAUCGUUCAAGAACAUUAUACAAAAAAAUUGAAGAACUACAAGCCAGUGAACAUGUCAAGGUUGUAACAUAGACUCGAGUCUCUAUGUAAGUUAUGUAGGAAGUUUCAGAUCACAAGGCCUGUUCUUUCACCAAAGCGACGUUACUUCUUACUAACACAUGAUAUUAUCUAUAGUAGCUUUCUCAUUCAUGGAAUGUGGGAUUCUUUAACCAAAGCAAUAGUACUUCUUUGUAACACGCAAUAUUAUCAAUAGUAGCUUGCUCUUGUAGCAUCUUUAUCAACUUCCAACGCCAAAUUGUAUGACUAACACAUAAGGCAGCUGCGACAUACUCGACUUUACAAGUUAAGAAAGGAACCGAAAAAAGAAAAAGAGAAAAAACAAGCGAAUAUAAUCAUAGGUUGCUUCUUAAGCACCAAAGUGAAUGUCAUUUCUCCAAAAGAAAAGAUUGUUGUGUAAAUCAUCGUAGCUAUGCGUAGGGUUGGGGCAAGAGGACCAGACCACAGGGGUGAGUAAGAAAGUGUGUAUAAUACUACGUUAAAAAAAGUUUUACUUGUGAAGAAGCUUGUGCUUCUUUUGCAGAAAUAAGGACAAAUAGUUUGAUUCGAUAUUUUCAAGGACAAAUAGUUUGAUUCGAUAUUUUCAAGGAAUCAACUAAGGAAAACUCAUUUUUCGUAUAUCGAAAACAAGAACUACUCAUAUGUUAGUUAAAACAAAAUUUGGAUUGUACAUAUUUGGAUCCAUUUUCUUUUCAUUUUUUCCUUAUUUUUUUGGAUUUUGGGAUUAAUAAAUAUUUCAAAUUAUUAUCUUGUGUUUCCUUUAUUAUAUUAUCAUCGAAAUAUUUUGGAUACGAGUAAAGUUGUUGUCAUGUGAGCUGCCCCUUGAAAAAAUGUAAGUUGAGGUUGCGUAAAAUAGAUCCUUGUGAUCAGCCCUUCCCCGAACACUGCACAUCGCGGGAGCUUAGUGCACUGGGCUGCCCUUUUUUGUUUUAAGAAAUAUUCUGGAUGCCAUAAAAACAUUUGCCUUUGAUAAAAAAGAAAAGCUAAUGCAUUUAAUUUGUUGUUUUUUUUAAUUGGAAGCAAGGAAUUUGUUCAACUUUUUUCACAGGGCCAUCAACAACAGUUAAUAGUAAACUCUGUCUACCAAUGCUAGAACAGAUCGGAAGAAAUCACCCUAGCGUUUAGCUUAUAGUGAAAAUUGAAUCCGAGACUUCACAGUGCACAACAAACUUCAUUGAACACUAGGCGACACCUUUGGAUGCUCCUAGGCGACAUCUUUGAAUUAAUAUUGUAAUUGUUUCUUUCAUCCAGAGAAAGCAAUCCUGCUAGAGAUGUUAGUGGUGGUGGAACCACACGUAGAGUCGGAGGGUAAUGAUCAUGAAGACAGAGCUAGUCGAGAUGAAAAAUUAGUCGAAAAAAUUAUGAAGACAACUCAAAUACAUUUAGUUGUGGCAACUAUCAAUUAAUGACACACUAAUAUUAACCAUUAUAUUGAAAUAAAGAAUAAUAUUAGAGUGCUCUUCUUGAUGAAUCUCCAAAAUAGAAAACUAAGUACCACUUUUUUCCUUUGACCCAAAGAAAGGCAUUUGUUACCUAAACUUAGCCUUCAUCAUAAGAAAGGGAUAACUUCUUUUUUGGGUUUUAUGUUUUAUAAUUUCAUUUGAGAUAAGCAUCUAGUACUCCUUGAACUAUGACCAAAGUUGCUACGACACACCCAACUUGUACGACCCGAACCGGGGCCCUGGCAAUGACGAGCAUUCCCGAACCCGAAGGCCCGAAAUGCCCUCUGUCUAUCUGGUAAUCAUGCUCAUAAUUCAUAUGAUCAAAGUAAUACGGAAUAGACACAAUAAUACGGAAACAUGGUCAACAAUUUAAGACAGUUAAAGGCCUGAAAACAUGCUCAACAAUAUUUAAUAAACAUCUGCAACAGUCUGCGAAAUCUCUACUGACAUACUAUCUGAAUAACUGGGACAAGGCCCCAGCAAACCAAAAACCAUACUGAAAUAAAUACCUAAAUGACUAGGCCUUCCGAAGCAAAGAAGGCUCACCAACUGAACUCUGAGACAACACUGUCUGUAGACUCUACUGAGGAUCUAGACCUCUAAACUACGCCUCAUUACCUGGGAGUAAGGGGGGUCAGCACAAUUGUACUGGCACGCGAAGAAAUCCAAAAUAGAGUAAUUGAACAUAUAUAUAUAUAUGUAUAUAUAUAUAUAUAUAUAUUUAUAAUACGUGAGAGCAAAUGUUCAUCAAACAUUAUGCAUAAAACAAUUUCUGAAAAAUACAUGGGUACCUGUCUGUAAAUCUCAAACUCUGAUCUGUGUAUUACUUUUGAGUUGGGUGGUAUCCCCUACAAGUCUGAUAUUCCACGGGCAAUAUGGAAUCCGCCAUUGACUCGGCGGGGAAGCCUCCAACCCGAGUAUGCCGCAAGGGUUGGAGUUCGUGAAUCUGAUACGCCACACGACACUUAAGUCAGCGUAUAAUAAUAUACUCGGCAAACCAUGAUUUUAGGCAAUGAGUUGCUUGAACUCAAUCCCUCUUCAGGGAACCACCUAACAUCUCUGUAUGCCCAUUUUUAACCUUUUCUAUANNNNNNNNNNNNNNNNNNNNNNNNNNNNNNNNNNNNNNNNNNNNNNNNNNNNNNNNNNNNNNNNNNNNNNNNNNNNNNNNNNNNNNNNNNNNNNNNNNNNNNNNNNNNNNNNNNNNNNNNNNNNNNNNNNNNNNNNNNNNNNNNNNNNNNNNNNNNNNNNNNNNNNNNNNNNNNNNNNNNNNNNNNNNNNNNNNNNNNNNNNNNNNNNNNNNNNNNNNNNNNNNNNNNNNNNNNNNNNNNNNNNNNNNNNNNNNNNNNNNNNNNNNNNNNNNNNNNNNNNNNNNNNNNNNNNNNNNNNNNNNNNNNNNNNNNNNNNNNNNNNNNNNNNNNNNNNNNNNNNNNNNNNNNNNNNNNNNNNNNNNNNNNNNNNNNNNNNNNNNNNNNNNNNNNNNNNNNNNNNNNNNNNNNNNNNNNNNNNNNNNNNNNNNNNNNNNNNNNNNNNNNNNNNNNNNNNNNNNNNNNNNNNNNNNNNNNNNNNNNNNNNNNNNNNNNNNNNNNNNNNNNNNNNNNNNNNNNNNNNNNNNNNNNNNNNNNNNNNNNNNNNNNNNNNNNNNNNNNNNNNNNNNNNNNNNNNNNNNNNNNNNNNNNNNAUGCGCCGCAUAUGAUAUCGCAUAUAUUUACAUAGUCGCCGCAUAUGAUAUCGCCUAUAUUUACAUAGGCUCCGCAUAUGAUAUCGCCUAUAGUUAUGCUUUCCAGUGGCCAUGUACGAUUGGUUAGGCGACGCAUACUAGUUUGAAAGGCCAUAAAUUCUUGUCGGGUGUCGGAUUUUAGCAAAAUUGGUAUCGUUGGAAAGUUAACUCGAAGACCUAUCAUUUGACAUAUAGUAGGCUCUCUAAUUCCACAUAUACAGAGAGCUAUGGUCGAUGGAAACUGACACAAAUUACAACAUCCACUAAAACUUAAUCGAUAGAAAUAGUUUCAACUCGUCCUUGAGUUGAAGGACCUCUAUGGUCUAAAUUCAUGCUCAAAUGGAUUCGCAUACUACAUAAACAUGUCAAAUUGGCAUAGGAUUUAAGGCUCUGGGAUUAUCAACGCAUUAGAGUCAUGGUUUUUCUUCUAGCCCAAAAUGCGGGGUGUUACAUUAUCUCCCCCUUGGGAUCAUUCGUCCCCGAAUGAUGGAUAGAAUGUCGAAGUCUUAAGGGUAUGGGAUAACGCGGACAUGAUAUGUUCCCUAAGAAAGAAUACACUGAUCGGAAACAUGACUACAAGAUUGGAACUACUGAUGUUUUAAAUGCUUAUGCCGGACAUGCAUAACCGAGGCAUGGAACACACGACUGAAGCUACUCAUAGGCUGAAUUCUCAUAAUGAAUCAUGCAUAUCUGAUGCAUGGAUCUGUGACCGAGUUGUUCUCAUGAAUGCAGGACUGAAUACACUGCUAAGCUGAACUUUUCUAUUGAACAUGCAUUUCUAAUGCAUACAUAUCUGACUGAACUGACGUAUGAACGUAUGGCUAUAUACGCAAUAAUAACUGAUGCGAAGCUUGUAAUAAGAAUCUAUGCAUGCAACUUAAUGGGGUAUCUACCCCUUGGUACCCUAUGUCCCUCUAUGAAUGCUCAAUUCACUAAGAUACUCAGAAAACUGAGGCGAUGCACAGGGCGCCUAUGAAUUAUACUCUAUCUUGGAAUAGUAGCAUGUUUGAGAUUUUGAGUAGCAUGAAUAUGUGCAAAGACGAGAGAACAAGUCAUGCGAAUCUAACUACUAAACUGACUUAUUGGCCAUAUAGACUGAAUUAUACUACAUCCUCAUACUUAACUGGAGUAUCUCUUCAUCACAAUUCUCUAAAGAAAUUCUAGUAGUAAUAGGGAGCCAUGAAUCUUGGGUCUGGAUUACAUAAGACAUCCAACUGAGGAAUCACUACAUUGACACUACUCUGUAGUCUGGAACAUAGGCAUAUAACUCCUGAAUUAGGAUAGAAUUACCAGGCCUUUGGCUUUACAACUUCUUACUUUCAAGCUUAUCACACUUCUCGAAUAUCACUUAACUAUACUAUUCUCCUUAAAUAUCAUAUUCAUUCAACUCAGCUUAAAAUUCUCAUAUGAUCAUUGACAAAUCUUUCUACUAAUGUCGGAAAUAACUUAAUCCCUUCACCGUGAUCAAGCCUAACUCUAAGUCACAAAAAUACAACAUGCCAGACCACGCUAUUAUUCUAAACCAUAUGAUNNNNNNNNNNNNNNNNNNNNNNNNNNNNNNNNNNNNNNNNNNNNNNNNNNNNNNNNNNNNNNNNNNNNNNNNNNNNNNNNNNNNNNNNNNNNNNNNNNNNNNNNNNNNNNNNNNNNNNNNNNNNNNNNNNNNNNNNNNNNNNNNNNNNNNNNNNNNNNNNNNNNNNNNACAUAUUCUCUAAACCACUAUCAAUAUCACUCCCACGAGCUACCCCAAGAACAUACACAUACAAAAUUCCACUAACCAUCACAUAAAUAAAAACUUGGCUCCAAAUCUUACUUCAUACUUAUGGCCUUAUCUAAACAAGCGUACUAUGAUCUUCCAUCAACAAGGAAUAAUUACUCACCACCACUAUCAUCGCACAAGGAGGAGUCACAAAAAGGUUAGAACAUAAGAUCUGGAGGCAUAGAAUGAUACAAUGUGAAGCUUGACAUUCAUCUGAGGCCUGAGGAAUAGCAAAACAACAACAGGGACACACCAAAGCGCUCUGAAUUUAGGGUAUUCGUGCCUAUAAGAUGAAUCUCGCCAAUCAUUUGGCGUAAAACAUGAGUUAUGAAAAUGGAGCACAUUAUAAAGCAUGAGUACAUGUGUUACGAACCAAACCAGGGCCUGGCCGUGACAAGCAUUUUGAACCAUUGAGGCCCGAAACACCCCUAUCUGUCUGGUAAUCAUGUACCUAAUUCAUAUGAUCAAAGAAAUGCAGAAAAAAACAACAAUUUGGAAACAUGGUCAUAAAUAUGAAAAGAGACAAUAACGGGGAGAUAAUGUUCCCUCAACAUUAAUUAUCCUCUGAACAACUAUCGAAAAUCUCUAACAAAUGACUGAAACAAUGUCUAUCUGAAAACUGGGACAAGGCCCCCAGUAGACCCAAAAACUGAAUAUAAGAUAAAAGAACUGCAGGACAUAAGACCUUCCGAAAUAUAGAAGGCUCGCCACUUGUCUCUACAGCUCUGUCUGAAAGUUCUACUGAUUCUCUUGACCCCUAGACUGGGCCUCUUAACCUGAGAGGUUGGAGAGGGGAGGAGGUCAGCACAAAACUACUGGCAUAUAGAGAUAUCAAAACAAAACAUAAUAUUUUUACAAAGUAUAGUUGAGAGCCAUUAUAAAGCAAUUUCGUAUCAAAUCAUUUGAUAACACAUGGGCAUAAUGCAAUAGUUUCUCAACAACAAUGAAAUGCAACUGAGCUAGGUGGAAUACCCUACAUAAUUUACACCAACUGUCAAACCUCAUUGAGAUUUGAGUAUAAGUGAGGGAGAGACACAUAAGAUCACAUAGCAUAGUGUCUCGACCCAAUGGUAGUGCCCAAGAUCACUUAGCUCGGGCUCCUACCUAUAGUCCAAAUUUGGGAAUGACAUAAAGUCAAGUACACAAGAUCACUUAGCCUGGUACCAAUAUUCCGUGCUGGCAAACACAUUUUUCCAGUAAUGAGCCCUUGUGUCUCAAACGCCUUCUUCGGACAUCCACUUAUAUCAUGUAAAAUCAAUGUAUUGAAACUUUAUUUGAUUCAAUCAUGUAUCGUAUUCUGUAGGGUAUCGUCAUACCUGACUUGCAAGUCAUCAAUAUCACAUCCACAUAUGCAUAAUCAUGUAAAAACCAAGGUGCUUCAUUAUUUACAAGUGGUGAAAAAUAAUUAUUUCAAAUUCAUGCUCUCUUUUGUUGAUCGCAAUAUAAUAUGGAGUAUCGAAACAUUAUCAUGGGAAUUUGAAAAUAAUUUAUUAUUCACAUUUAUGAAACUUCCGUGGAAAAUCUCAAAUCACAUAUGCAUGGUUUCAACCAUUGAAGUAUAUAGGCAAACAAUUCCCACGACAUAAAGAAAAAUGACUUAGAAAUCAUAUUGAAAGCAAGUUAUUAGCAUUUGAUUGAAAACCCCCAUUUAAAAGCAUGCAUGUUCAUAAANNNNNNNNNNNNNNNNNNNNNNNNNNNNNNNNNNNNNNNNNNNNNNNNNNNNNNNNNNNNNNNNNNNNNNNNNNNNNNNNNNNNNNNNNNNNNNNNNNNNNNNNNNNNNNNNNNNNNNNNNNNNNNNNNNNNNNNNNNNNNNNNNNNNNNNNNNNNNNNNNNNNNNNNNNNNNNNNNNNNNNNNNNNNNNNNNNNNNNNNNNNNNNNNNNNNNNNNNNNNNNNNNNNNNNNNNNNNNNNNNNNNNNNNNNNNNNNNNNNNNNNNNNNNNNNNNNNNNNNNNNNUAUUUCCAAGGAUAAUAGAUGUUUCUUGAAGCUUGCAGAUUGGUGAUUCCGAAUAUGUAAUUAUCUUUGAAAACCUACGGUCAAAUCUUGAACUAUUUGGGUUUUUAUUUUGAAACCCUAAGGAGAAUCUUGAGCACUUUUGAUGAAAGAAUAUGUAUUUUGGGGUCCUUGGAACUAAAUCUCGUGUUUUAGGGCUAAGUAAGGGUUGAAAAGGACCACUUUGUCCUCAACACGGAGUGUUUAAAUCACCAGAAUUCCUUACAUAGGCGCUGCCCAUCUCGUUGCCUAUGUUCACAUAGGCGCCGCCUAGGCUAUCGCCUAUGUUUACAUAGGCGCCGCCUAGGCUGUUGCCUAUGUUUUCCAGUGGCCAUGGGCGAUUGGUUAGGCAACGCUUAUCACUUUAAAGGGCCAUAACUUCUUGCUCGGGUGUCGGAUUUUCUCCAAAUUAGUAUCAUUGGAAAGCUAACUCGAAUACCUAUCAUUUGACCCAUAGUAGGCUUCAUAAUUCAACAUAUACAGAGAGUUAUGGUCAAUGGAAGCUGACACACUUUACAACGUCUACUAAAACUUAGUCGAUUGAAAUAGUUCCAACUCGUCCCUGAGUUGAAGGACCUCUAUGGUCUAAAUUCAAGCUUGAGCAGAUUCACAUGCUACACAAUAAUUAACAAGCCGUAUUGGCAUAGGAUUUUAUGGCUUCGGGAUUAGCAACGCAUCAAAAUCAUGGUCUAUAUUGUAGCCCGAAUUGCGGGGCAUUACAUUAUCCCCCCUUAGGAUCAUUCGUCCCCAAAUGAUGAUGCGGGACACAGAUAGACACAAUUUCAAGCAUAAUAAAGGACUAGGAAAGAUAUGAUAGGAAUAGUACUUUUUUUCUUCUCCUCCAUCGAAGCAAACAAAUUGGGAUAUCUGAGCUCCCAAGUUGCUUCUUCGACUAUCUAAUUCCUCCACAGUACCUUUACUGAGGGUAUCUCUUUGCUCCUCAGCUUUCGAACUUGGCGAUCUAAAAUUUCAAUGGGCUCUUCUUUGUAAGACAAGGAGUCUUUCACUUUGAUGCCCUAUACUGGCAAUACCAUAGAAUAAUCUCCAAUGCAUUUCCUCAACAUGGAUACAUGGAAUACCGAAUGAACGGAACCCAAACUUGCAGGCAAUUCUAACUCAUAUGCAACUGUACCAAUCUUUUUCAAAAUCUGAUAUGGCCCUAUAUAACGAGGGCUCAAUUUACCCCUUUUUCCAAAAUGCAUAACUCCUUUCAUAGGAGAAACCUUGAAAAACACCCAAUCACCAAUUUCAAACUCUAGUUCUCUUCUCCGAACAUCGGCAUAGAACUUCAAAUGACUCUGAGCAGUCUUGAGUCGUUCUCUAAUGAUUUUUACUUUCUCCAUCGCCUGAUGAACAAGAUCAGGCCCAUACAACUGAGUCUCACCCACUUCAUACCAUCCUAUCAGAGACCUACAUCUCCUCCUAUACAAGGCCUCAAAAAGAGCCAUCUUGAUGCUGGUAUGGUAGCUAUUAUUAUAGGCGAAUUCAACCAGUGGCAGGUGAUCUACCCAACUACCUUUGAAAUCAAUGAUGCAUUCCCUCAAUAUAUCUUCGAGGGUCUGAAUGGUACGCUCAUCUUGCCCAUCCAUCUAAGGGUGGAAAGUUGUGCUCAAAUUCACUUGUGUACCUAAACCCUUCUGAAAGGAUCUCCAAAACUGAGAUAAAAAUUACGUACCUCUGUCGGAUAUAAUGGGUACUGGUGCCCCAUGCAAUCGAACUAUCUCCUCAAUGUAAAUCUUAGCAUAAACCUCUCCCGAAUAAUUAGUCCUCACAGGCAAAAAGUGGGUUGACUUGGUCAAUCGAUCUACAAUCACCCAUAUAGAAUCAUACUGGUUUCGGGAUCUCGAAAGUCCUAUAAUGAAGUCCAUAUUUAUCAUCUCCCACUUUUAUAAAGGCUGGACUAUCUCUUGGGAAGUACCACCCGGCCUCACUUGUCCUUCAAUUUCUCAAAACUAUUUUCACACAAGUCAGACCACACAAACUUUAUCUUUUUCUGAGUCAGUUUAGUAAGCGGAGCAGCUAUGGAAGAAAAACUCUCUAUGAACCUUCUGUAAUACCCCGCCAAACCCAAGAAGCUCUGAAUAUCGGUUGGAGUCAUGGAUCUGGGCCAUUUUCUUACUACUUCAACUUUCUGGGGAUCCACUCUUAUCCCGUCACUAGACACAAUAUGCCCUAGGAAGGCAAUAGCGUCUAACCAGAAUUCACACUUUGAAAAUUUGGCAUACAGCUGAUGAUCCUUAAGGGUCUACAGGAUAAUUCGGAGGUGAUUGGUGUGAUCCUCUUUACUCUUAGAAUAGUUCAGAAUAUCAUCAAUAAAUACAAUGACGAACAAGUCAAGAAACUGACGGAACACAUACAACCUUUGGAGAAAAGCUUUCGGGCUCUAAGAUAAGAGAUAAAGUGACCGUGACCAUAUCGGGUUCGAAAGGCUGUCUUGGGUAUGUCUGACUCCCUAACUUUCAACUGAUGAUAACCCGAAUGAAGGUCUAUGUUUAAAAAAUACUUGGCACCCUGAAGCUGGUCAAAAAGGUCAUCAAACCUAGGAAUAGCAUAUUUAUUUUUAAUCGUGACCUUAUUCAGCUGACGGUAGUCUAUGCCCUUCCGAAGGGACCCAUCCUUCUUUCGCACGAAGAGCAUGAGUGCACCCCAUGGGGAAACACUAGGACGAAUAAAACCUUUGUCUAGGAGGUCUGUAAGCUAUUCCUUUAACUCCUUUAGCUCCGCAGGAGCCAUUCUAUAUGGUGGAAUAGAAAUAGAUGAGUUUAUGGCAACACAUCAAUGCCAAAAUUAUCUCCCUAUCAGGGGGUAUCCCUGGGAGAUCUUCGGGAAAGAAUUUUGGGAAUUCAUUCACUACAAGGACUGACCGCAGAGAAAGGUUUCCAACUUUUGAAUCUUUUACUUGGAUUAGAUAAUACAUACAACCUUUGGAGAUAAGCUUUCGGGCUCUAAGAUAAGAGAUAAAGUGACCUCUAGGUUCCACAGAACUCCCUACCCAAACAACUGGUGUCUCAUUCGAGAAAGAAAAAGUGACCUUUCGGGUUCUGCAAUCAAGGGUGGCAUAACACGAAUGGAGCCAGUCCAUCCCAAGGAUGGCAUCAAAGUCUAUCAUAUCNNNNNNNNNNNNNNNNNNNNNNNNNNNNNNNNNNNNNNNNNNNNNNNNNNNNNNNNNNNNNNNNNNNNNNNNNNNNNNNNNNNNNNNNNNNNNNNNNNNNNNNNNNNNNNNNNNNNNNNNNNNNNNNNNNNNNNNNNNNNNNNNNNNNNNNNNNNNNNNNNNNNNNNNNNNNNNNNNNNNNNNNNNNNNNNNNNNNNNNNNNNNNNNNNNNNNNNNNNNNNNNNNNNNNNNNNNNNNNNNNNNNNNNNNNNNNNNNNNNNNNNNNNNNNNNNNNNNNNNNNNNNNNNNNNNNNNNNNNNNNNNNNNNNNNNNNNNNNNCUGUGGAGGCGGCUUGGGACUCCCCGCAUUUACUCCAGCAGAUGGACAAUCUCUUUGAAGGUAACCCACUUUGUCACAAGUAUAGCAGUUUCUUCCCUCAAACCAGCACUUCCCUGAAUGAUUCCUUCCGCAAACCUCACACCGCGGACAAGUACAAUGCUACUGGGCCACACUUCCCUGAGACUGUGUACCUAGAGCUUUGGACCCAUGAGGAGUCUGAAAAUUCCGAGUUUGUCUAUCUGUUGGUGGUCUGGGUGCUGGGGUGCUGGCUGCUAACUAUGCAUUAUUCCAAAACUUCUUCUUUUUCGACCACUUAUUACCCCAGUUACCAUUCUGCGGCUGACUCUGGUGUUGGUCCGUAGAUCUAUCUCUCUUAGCCUGUCUGUCUUCCACUCUAGAUUCAGCAAUAUUUUUCUUCUUCUCUUCCACUUAAUGCAUAUGAACGGUCAGUCGAGCAAAGUCUAACUCCUUAUUCAACAUAGCCCCCUGGAACUCAAGUACCAGGUCAUCAGCAAGGCCAGAUGCAAACUUCCUCAUCCGGGCCUUCAUAUUACUAGUCAACUCUAGUGCAUAGCGGUCUAGUUUAUUAAACUUCAAAGUGUACUCCUAGACACUCAUACUUCCCUUCUUCAGAUUCAUAAACUCUUCCGCUUUGGCCUUCCUCAACUCUAGAGGAAAGAAUCAAUCAAAGAAGGCUUCCAAAAAUUCACCCCAAACUGUGGGCUCAUCACUUUCACCUUUUUCAUCUUCCCAAUCGGCAUACCACUGACUCGCAACAUCCUUGAGCUGAUAGGUUUCUAGCUCCACCCCUUCAACCUCAUCCACAUGCAUCACCUUAAAGAUCUUUUCCAUCUCAUCCACGAACUCCUGUGGAUCUUCCUUCACCUUGGUGCCAGUGAACUUAGGUGGGUUCAUCUUCAUGAAAUGUCCGACUCUAGUAGCCUUAGAUGUAAUAGAUGCAGACCCAACAUCUUCCGAUCGUUGGGAAUGGUUGGCUACCAACUGUGUCAGCAUAUGAAUAGACCGUCUGAAUUCUGCAUUUGAAAUAUCUCCCUAAGCAGUUGGGGGACGGUUGACAUUAGUCCACAGAGCUCGAGGUGGACCGGUCGGGACUGGAGGGACUCCCGAAGUAGGGAAAAAUUCUGGAGUGUGAGCCCUAUUAUGGGUCCGCAUCCCAUGGGUGGGAUGGACCUCAUCUACCUGAGCAUUCUGAUCGAUGAUACAACAUGGAGGCAUAACUAUGAUUCUAAAACACAAGUGAUCAUUGAUUAGGGGACAGUUCAGACUCUGAAGCACGAACUAAAUCACAAAGAUGGGAAACAUUUCCUAAAUACCUAUCAGCCUCCUGCUUAUAAGUGUGGCAUGCUACACACCCAUAAACAAGACUCUACCUUACGUGAUUUCGCAGACACCCUGGGACCAUGAACCGUGCUUUGAUACCAAGUUUUUCACGACCCAAACCAGGGCCUGGUCGUGACGAGCAUUUCGAACAAUUAAGGCCCGAAACACCCCUAUCUGUCUAGUAUUCAUGCACCUAAUUCAUAUGAUCAAAGAAAUGCGGAAAAAACACAAUAAUUCAGAAACAUGGUCAUAAAUAUAAAAAGAGACAAUAACAGAGAGAUAAUGUUCCCUCAACAUCAAUUAUCCUCUGAACAACUGUCUGCGAAAAUCUCAAACAAAUGUCUGAAACAAUGUCUAUCUGAAAACUGGGACAAGGCCCCAUUAGACCCAAAAAUUGAAUAUAAGAUAAAAGGACUACAGGACAUAAGACCUUCCGAAACAUAGAAGGCUCACCACUUAUCUCUAGAGCUCUGUCUGAAAGUUCUACUGAUUCUCUUGACCCCUAGAUUGGGCCUCUGAACCUGAGAGGUUGGAGAGGGGAGGGGGUCAGCACAAAAGUACUGGCAUGCAGAGAUAUCAAAAUAAAACAUAAUAUUUUUACAAAGUAUAGUUAAGAGCCAUUAUAAAGCAAUUUCGUAUCAAAUCAUUUGAAAGCACAUGGGUGUAAUGCAGUAGUUUAUCUCAACAAUAAUGAAAUGUAACUGAGCUAGGUGGAAUACCCUACAUAAUUUACACCAAUUGUCAAACCUCGGUUGCCGCCGAGAUUAGAGUAUAAGUGAGGGAGAGACACAAAAGACCACACAGCAUGGUGUCUCGACCCAAUGGUAGUGCCCAAGAUCACUUGUCUCGAGCUCCUACCUAUAGUCCAAAUUUGGGAAUGACAUAAAGUCAAGUACACAAGAUCACUUAGCCUGGUACCAAAUUCCCGUGUCGGCAAACACGUUCUUCCAGCGACGAGCCCUUGUGUCUCAAACGCCUUCUUCAGGCAUCCACCUAUCUCAUAUAAAAUCAAUGCAUUCAAACUUCAUUUGAUUCAAUCAUGUAUCGUAUAUUGUAGGGUAUCGUCAUACCUGACUUGCAAGUUAUCAAUAUCACAUCCACAUAUGCAUAAUCAUGUAAAAACCAAGGUGCUUCAUCAUUUACAAGUGGUGAACGAUAAUUAUUUCAAAUUCAUGCUCUCUUUUAUUGGUCACAAUAUGAUAUGGGGUAUCAAGACAUUAUCAUGGGAAUUUGAAAGCAAUUUAUCAUUCAUAUUUAUCAAACUUCCAUGGAAAAUCUCAAAUCACAUAUGCAUGGUUUCAACCAUUGAAGUAUAUAGGCAAACAAUUCCCAUGACAUAAAGAAAAAUGACUUAGAAAUCAUAUUGAAAGCAAGUUAUUAGCAUUUGAUUGAAAACCCCCAUUUAAAAGCAUGCAUGUUCAUAAAAACUACACCCAUGAGAUUUUAGGAAAAUCCCACGUACCUCGAUUACUAUGAAUAUUAGNNNNNNNNNNNNNNNNNNNNNNNNNNNNNNUCCAAAUAUGUAAUUAUCUUUGAAAACCUACGGUCAAAUCUUGAACUAUUUGGGUUUUUAUUUGAAACCCUAAGGAGAAUCUUGAGAACUUUUGAUGAAAGAAUAUGUAUUUUGGGGUCCUUGGAACUAAAUCUCGUGUUUUAGGGCUAAGGGUUGAAAAGGACCACUUUGUCCUCAACUCGGAGUGUUUAAAUCACCAGAAUUCCUUACAUAGGCGUCGCCCAUCCUGUUGCUUAUGUUCACAUAGGUGCCGCCUAGGCUAUCGCCUAUGUUUGCAUAGGCGCCGCCUAGGCUAUCGCCUAUGUUUACAUAGCUGCUGCCUAGGCUAUUGCCUAUGUUUUCCAGUGGCCAUGGGCGAAUUGUUAGGCGACGCUUAUCACUUUGAAGGGCCAUAACUUCUUACUCGGGUGUUGGAUUUUUGCCAAAUUGGUAUCGUUGGAAAGCUAACUCAAAUACCUAUCAUUUGACCCUUAGUAGGCUUCCUAAUUUGACAUAUACAGAGUGUUAUGGUAGAUGGAAGCUGACACACUUUACAACAUCUACUAAAACUUAGUCGAUCAAAAUAGUUCCAACUCGUCCUUGAGUUGAAGGACCUCUAUGGUCUAAAUUCAAGCUUGAGCGGAUUCAUAUGCUACACAAUAAUUAACAUGCCGUAUUGGCAUAGGAUUUUAUGGCUUCGGUAUUAGCAACGCAUCGAAAUCAUGGUCUAUAUUGCAGCCCAAAUUGCAGGGUGUUACAACAUGACUCUCUAUCGUAUGUAUGAACGUGAACUGAUCAUGGAACUAAAUCGUAAAGCAUGAGUAGGUAUUAGGAUCACUGAGAAAUACUGAGAUAGGAAUGGGUUGAGAUUCACCCUUACUUUUUGAUGUUCUAUAUCAUCAUGACAUCACUAUAAGAAUCUGAGAGUCUUACUUGGUUAUUCAUUUAGUCAUCUCCCCCUUAGCUUCAAUCCAUCAUCUUAAGUUUUGGGAGGUACCUUACUAGACUUUAAACUUAACUGCACUCACUGCACUCUGGGUUCUGAAAUAUGACAAUACACAAAAUUAAUAAAACUUAACCCGAAAGACCACACAUGAGAGUGGAAUGCCCACUGCUAACACUACCUCCUGAGGCACACUCUAACACUUACUAACUUCGAAUCUUCAUGAGUAUCCCCAAAGUUGAAGUGUACACCCUCUAGUGCCUCUACUCUUAUUUCUAUUAGCACAACUUUCAAGGACUCGAGCUUAGAUUAUAACACCUAACAUGGGUAUCACCAAGUCUUCAAUGAGCCACUCUAUUGCUAGCAUAGUCUACCAACAUAGAAACUUUAAACUUAUUUUCCUCUACCAUGAGAAUCAAGCUCAUGUCAAAAGGCUCAACGCUAUCAAUCAAAGGUCCUUAACUUGGCUAUUUAGAACACCAUAUACCAUCUAGCUAGUCUUUUUCCAUCUAGCAACUCAACGGUACUAGUAGCCACACAUAACAUGUAACAGCCUUAGAAAAAUACUACAGCUUCAUACGACCUUGGGCAUACUUCUACAUCACAUAUACAAUGUCAUACUUCAUUACGAAUCAAAUAAACUUAGGCACUUGCAUACACUGUUCAAGCCUAUAGAUCACUUCCAUAUAACUAGUAUCAUUAACCAAGGAAUCAUCACAUCCACCUCCAUGGCCAUCAAUUGUUUCAAACUUAAUGUCUAGUGCUAAACAUGAUUUACAACCAACCUUACACACAAUCCUCACUUAGAAACUAUGAAAUAAACAUCAAGAAACACUAGUACACUAGAAAUUCAUAACCACAAUCACAAUAAUGGAUCAUGACCUUACAGUUUUCCUUGUCAUAAUCCAUCAGCACGUACUAUUUCAACACAUCAAGCUUACAAAUCAAAUCCCAUGAAACAUGUAUCAUCAAUCUCUUUCCACUAUUCANNNNNNNNNNNNNNNNNNNNNNNNNNNNNNNNNNNNNNNNNNNNNNNNNNNNAAAUAUACUAAUCCUUCAAAUUGGGAUAUUCUACCCAAAUACUUCAAAAAUAUACUACAUACUUUCUCACAAGUAGUAUUAGUUUACAACUACCAAUGAGAAGAAGGUUAAGGGGUAAGGUCACAUAAUAGACAUGAUCAACCUUAAGCUUAUAUUAUAACCAUACAAUCUUAUCUACUUAUACGGCUUUCUCAUAUCACACUUACUUACCCCAAUGGGAAUUUAGACUACCUUCAGAUACCCCAUAUGACAAUGAGUCUAUACUUAAAAUUUACUGGCUAAUCUAGCCAUUUUCAUUCAUAGCAUAUAAGGGGUUUCUAUAACCACCUUAAAUAUCCACUCUGGGCUCUUUAUCUAUUUUGAAAGGAAGAAAACAAAUAACAUUCUAAGUCAACACUUCCUCCAUGGACUACCAUACAAUCCAUAAAUGGUACCACCACGAAAGGGUAAAUCAUUCUCAAUCAACGGUUAUUCAACUAUAAUAUUUAAUCACAAAAGUCACCCUCACUCUGACCUCUAACCUUAUGACUUCAUAUCACAAACUUCUUGGUCUAAUUUCACUACCAAUAGGUCAUGACACCAACACUCUAACUUAUACUACUACUCGGGUGGAAAUACAGUUCCAACAAACACAAGAACAACAAGAUGAAUAGCAAGUUGCUAGUGAAUCGAAAUAGGCCUUCCGCGGCUUCACUAGACUUUUUUUUCAACAACACAACGAUAUCAAGAUUACAAGAGAUAGAAUCUUGAUACACAAUAUUCAAUGACUCAAGAAUACACAUCUUACUUUUGUCUUAAUUGAACGCCUCAUAAGAACGAGGACACAAUUUUACACUAGGGAACUACUCUCCCGUCCUUUGUGGGACUUCUAAAAUUUCUGCUAGAUAAUCAGAGAAUAUCUAGAAACACCAGAGUGAGGAAGAAAUUAGGAUAACUUUUCUUUUCGUAUGGGUGACACCAUAGCACGAAUUAAAGUAUGAAGGAGGAACAUUCUGACUCUAUAGCACGAACUAGAACAUGAAGAAAGAGAGACAUUCCUAAAUGCCUUGUAGCCUCCUGCUUAUAAGUGUGGCGCACUACACACCCAUAAAUAAUACUCUACCCGACGCGAUUUUGCAGACACCUUGGGACCUUGAACCGUGCUUUGAUACCAAGUUUGUCACGACCCAAACUGGGGCCCUACCCGUGAUGAGCAUUCCCAAACCCGAAGGCCCGGAACGCCCUCUGUCUAUCUGGUAAUCAUGCAUAUAAUUCAUAUGAUCAAAGUACUACGGAAUAGACACAAUAAUACAGAAACAUUGUCAACAAUUUAAAAUAGUUAAAGGCCUGAAAACAUGCUCAACAAUAUUUAAUAAACAUCUGCAAUAGUCUGCGAAAUCUCUACUGAUAUACUAUCUGAAUAACUGGGACAGGGCCCCCAGCAGACCAAAAACCAUACUGAAAUAAAUACCUAAAUGACUAGGCCUUCUGAAGCAAAGAAGGCUCACCAACUGAACUCUGAGACAACCCUGUCUGCAGACUCUACUAAGGAUCUAGACCCCUAGACUGCGCCUCAGUACCUGGGAGGAAGGGGGUCAGCACAAUUGUACUGGCCCCCCUACAAGUCUGAUAUUCCACGGAAGAUAUGGAAUCCUCCAUUGACUCAGCGGGGAAGCCUCCAACCUGAGUAUGCGCAAGUGUAACGCCCCAUAAAAGGCGUGCAUAGAUUAGUCUUUAAUAUUGAACUCUUAGACUUAAAGACUUAAAAUUUUCUAAGUGUAAAAUGAGACUGAGUCAUUUUAGCUGGCAAUCUUUGGGAUACAACUUUUCAACCUUCUCGACAUCCAUUUUUAGAUUUUCAAGUUGCGUUACGAUCGGUAAAGCUCAUAGUGCAUCUCGGAUAAGUUUUGGAAUUUCUCAGAACACAUAAGGCUGCGUUUGGAUUUCAAAAUAGUAGCAAAACGCAUAGCCUAUUGCGCAGUUUUCAGCAUUUUAGGGUCAACUUCAAACAAUCAUAACUCCCUGUAUAUAUGAACUGUGUGAGGUAUAAUAUAUCAAACAAAAUAUCUUUGAGUCCUAUUUCAAAUACAGUUGGUUUCAUCCAAUUUGAUUAUAUGAGUAACACGUUAUAGUCGAUUUACUCCAGAUAAUCAAACUGUCAACUGAGAGACAGAUUUGACCUUAAUUGUUCCUUAGGGGUAUUUUGGUCAUCCUUCACCCGUAUAUAUACCACCAACACGGGAUUUAAUACCUCAAACACCAAAAUAAACCUUCAUUCAUCAAAAUUUCUCAAGAACACUCCUUAGGGUUUCAAAAUAAAAACCCAAAUAGUUCAAGAUUCGACUGUAGGUUUUCGAAGAUAAUUACAUAUUCGGAAUCACAAAUCCACGAGCUUCAAGAAACAUCUAGUAUUUUAGGAAAUAGAGGUAUGGGUGUAGUUUUUAUGAACAUGCAUGCUUUUAAAUGGGGGUUUUCAAUCAAAUGCUAAUAACUUGCUUUCAAUAUAAUUUCUAAGUCAUUUUUCUUUAUGUCAUGGGAAUUGUUUGCCUAUAUACUUCAAUGGUUGAAACCAUGCAUAUGUUAUUUGAGAUUUUCCAUGGAAGUUUGAUAAAUACGAAUGAUAAAUUGCUUUCAAAUUCCCAUGAUAAUGUCUUGAUACCCCAUAUCAUAUUCUGACCAAAAAAAGAGAGUAUGAAUUUUAAAUAAUUAUUGUUCACCACUUGUAAAUGAUGAAGCACCUUUAUUUUACAUGAUUAUGCAUAUGUGGAUGUGAUAUUGAUGACUUACAAGUCGGGUAUGACGAUACCCUAUAGAAUAUAAUACGUGAUUGAAUUAAAUAAAGUUUGAAUGCAUUGAUUUUACAUGAGAUAGGUGGAUGCCCGAAGAAGGCGUUUGAGUGUAAGGGCUCAUCGCUGGAAAUUGUGUUUGCCAACAUGAGAAUUUGGUACUAGGCUAAGUGAUCUUGUGUACUUGACUUUAUUCUCAAAUUGGGACUAUAGGUAGGAGCCCGGGCUAAGUGAUCUUGGGCACUACCAUUGGGUCAAGACACCAUGCUUCAUGGUCUUGUGUGUCUCUCCCUUACUUAUACUCUAAUCUCAGAAGCAACCGAGGUUUGAUAGUUGGUGUAAAUUAUGUAGGGUAUUCCACCUAGCUCAGUUACAUUUCAUUGUUGUUGAGAAACUAUUGCAUUUUGCCCAAGUGUUUUCAAAUGAUUUGAUAUGAAAUUGCUUUAUAAUGGCUCUCAACUAUAUUUUGUAAAAAUAUUAUGUUUUGUUUUGAUAUCUCUGCGUGCCAGUACUUUUGUGCUGACCCCCUCCCCUCUUCAACCUCUCAGGUUCAGAGGCCCAGUCUAGGGGUCAAGAGAAUCAGUAGAUCAUUCAGACAGAGUUGCAGAGACAAGUGGUGAGCCUUCUAUGUUUUAGAAGGUAUUAUGUCCUGCAGUCCUUUUUAUCUUAUAUUUAGUUUUGGGGUCUACUGGGGGCCUUGUCUCAGUUUAUAUACAGUUACUUGACUCAAUCAUUUGUUAGAGAUUUCCGCAGACAGUUGUUUAGAGGUUGAUUGAUGUUGGGGGAACUUUAUUUCCCCGUUAUUGUUUCUUUUCAUAUUUAUGACCAUGUUCCCGAAUUAUUGUGUUUCUUUCACAUUACUUUGAUUAUAUGAAUUAGGUGCAUGAUUACCAGACAGAUAGGGGUGUUUUGGGCCUCCAUGGUUCGAAAUGCUCAUCACGAUCAGGCCCUGGUUUGGGUUGUGAUAAACUUGGUAUCAAAGCACGAUUCAUGGUCCUAGGGUGUCUGCAAAAUCGUGUCGGGUAGAGUCUUAUUUAUGGGUGUGUAGCGCGUCAUACUUAUAUGUAGGAGGCUACUAGGCGUUUAGGAAUGUCUCUCUUUCUUCAUGUUCUAGUUCGUGCAAUAGAGUCAGAAUAUUCCUCUUUCAUACAUUAAUUCGUGCUAUGGUGUCACCCAUACAAAAGUAAAAAGUCAUCCCACAUUCUUUCCUUACUCUACUGUCCUCAGAUAUGUCUCAUUAUUGAGGUGAUUCAAGUACAUAAGUUUAGAAUCUCAAUGGUAUGGUCCUUUCUGAUUGUACAAUAUAAGAUUUAAAAUUUGUGCAAGGACUUGAUAAGAGUCCGUUAGUGCUUCAAUGUGUAUUGAUUUUGAUGUAAACGUUGAUCCUGAUGGAAUCGUGCUUUUCAGCUUGAGGUAUUAAUUGCAUUUAAUCCCCUUCAAAUUUAUGUUACAAAUGUCUUGCUUAAGGGGGGAUGAUGUGUAGUAGAAUGUUGGUGUUAGCAGCUUAUUCUCUAUGUAUAUAUAGCCUACUCUUGUUUUAGUUAGUUUCAAGCUUUUCAGAUUAUAUUGUAAACCUUAGUCUUUCUUUCCUUCAAUAAAGUUCUAUUAACAUGGUAUCAGAGCUAGUUCGAUCCAUGUCCUUUGAUUUGUUGGUUGAAGAUUUUGUAGCAGGCACCUACUGCGCGGAUCGAUUCGUUGAGGUGCUGCUGUAUUCGUUUGCUAUUUUCGUUGGGUUUUUUGGUUGGAUUGAUUCGUUGCUGUCUUCGUUUGCUGUCUGGUAUUGUUCGUCUUUCGUUCUUUUGCUUGCUGCCAUUGUUGUUCGUUCGGAAUUGUUCAACCUAGGGUUUUGCAUCUUUUUGUUUUUUUGAAUUGUUUGUGUGUUGCUGUGUUUACAAUGACUGGAAAGGAUGAUUCUCUCCAGUCCAUUAGUACUCAAUUAGAUGGUAAGAACUAUGCCUAUUGGAGUUAUGUCAUGAAGAAUUUUCUUCGUGGGAAGAAUAUGUGGGGUUAUAUCACUGGAGUAAAACCAAGACCUAUCGAUGAUAAAACUGAAAAUUUUGAUUUGUUGGUGGACUUAUGGGAAACUAAUAACUCCAAGAUUAUCACUUGGAUCAACAAUUCUGUAACUCAGUCAAUUGGUAUGCAAUUGGCUAAGUAUGACACAGCAAAGGAGGUCUGGGAUCAUUUGGAAAGACUGUACACUCAGUCUAAUUUUGCUAAGCAGUACCAGUUGGAGUAUGAUAUCCGUGCUCUUCAACAGCAUGAUCUCAGUAUUCAAGAUUUUUAUGCUGCCAUGUCGGAUUUGUGGGAUCAAUUGGCACUUACUGAAUCUGCAGAGUUAAAAGGUUUUGGGCCGUACAUUGCUAGACGGGAAGAGCAACGCUUGGUUCAGUUUUUGAUGGCACUACGUUCUGACUUUGAGGGCCUACGUGGAACAAUCCUUCAUCGAUCUCCCCUCCCUACUGUUGAUUCUGUGGUUCAUGAACUGAUUGCAGAGGAGACUCGUAUCAAGUCUCAAGUGGAUAAAGGGUCUAAAGUAACUACUACUCCUGUCGUGUUUGCUGCUUCAACUGAUCAGUCUAGGCCACCACGUACUCAGACUCGACAAUCUCCUAAAGUUGCAUUUGAUGAGUGUGCAUUCUGCAAACAGAAAAAUCAUUGGAAGGCUCAGUGUCCGUUGUUACUUAACAAGGUCAAACAGCCUCAAUCUGGGCAGCAACAGAAAUAUGGGCAGCAAAAGUCUCCGUCACGCUCCUCUGGUGCUCCUCCAUGGUCAUCUCGUCCUCCACAGUUCGCUGCUGCUGCACCAUCUGUAGAUGUUGAGUCUGUUAGCACUAUGCCACCUUCUGCGUUGGAUCCCCAGGUUUUCGAACAGUUCAGACAGUUCUUCGUUUCUAAUCCUACGGCCAUGUCAGCAUCUAUGUCUCAUUCGGGUUCAGUUUCUUCUAGUACCUCAGGUAUUCCUUCCUCCUUGUGGAUAUUGGAUUCUGGUGCGUCUCAUCACAUGUCCCCUCAUUUGUCAUCGUUUGGUUCUUUGUCACCCAUUUCACCAAUCUCUGUUAUGUCCGCGAGUGCUGUACCUAUGUCAGUCGAGGGUGUUGGUUCUGUUACUACCCCUCACAUUGUCCUCUCUGAUGUUUAUUACAUUCCCAAACUUGCUUUAAAUCUUGUUUCGGUCAGUCAGUUGUGUAAGGCUGGUAAUUGGGUGUUUUUUUCUGAUUCUGUUUGUGUUAUACAGGACCAACACACUCAGAGGGUGAUUGGGACCGGCCGUAGGUUGGGGGAACUCUAUGUCUUGGAGAAUCUCAAAGUGUCUGUAGUUGCUGCCUCUAGCAUAGAUUUAUCUUCUUUUCGUUUGAGUCCUUUGUCUUCUCAGUUUUAUCUUUGGCAUUCCAGAUUAGGACAUGUGUCAGUUUCACGUUUACGUUUUUUGGUCUCUAGUGGUGCUUUGGGUCAUGUGAACACUAGUGAUAUUUCAGAUUGUAGUGGUUGUAAACUGGCAAAAUUUUCUGCCUUACCGUUUAAUAAAAGUGUGUCUUAUUCUGUUGCUCCUUUUGAUAUUAUUCAUUCUGAUGUAUGGGGACCAGCGCCAGUAUCCACUAAGGGUGGAUCGACCUAUUAUGUUUCGUUUAUAGAUGACUAUACUCGUUAUACCUGGGUGUAUCUUAUGAAACGCAGAUCUGAUUUCUUUGGCAUUUACAACAACUUUAGAGCCCUUGUUAAAACACAACAUUCGGCUGUGAUAAAGUGUUUCAGGUGUGACUUAGGGGGUGAAUAUACCUCUAAUGACUUCACUCAGUUACUUGCCUCUGAUGGUACCAUACACCAGUCAUCUUGUACCGACACUCCUGAGCAGAACGGUCUGGCAGAAAGAAAACAUCGUCAUAUUGUUGAGACAGCACGCUCUUUACUUUUGUCUGCAGAGGUUCCUAGUAUUUUUUGGGGAGAAGCAGUUCUAACUGCUGUAUAUGUGAUUAAUCGUAUUCCUACUGCAUUGACUUCAGGGAUGUCUCCGUUUGAGAAACUAUAUGGUCACCCGCCGAAUUAUUCUGCAUUACGAGUUUUUGGAUGUACUUGCUUUGUUCUUCGUCCUCAUGUUGAACGAAAUAAGUUAGGGUCAAAAUCAGCUAUAUGUGUGUUUUUGGGGUAUGGUAUUGGACAAAAAGGAUAUCGUUGCUAUGAUCCUGUAAGUCAGAAAUUAUAUGUUUCACGACAUGUCACUUUUUUGGAACAUAUUCCUUUUUAUUCCAUUCCAGCUAAAACCCAUGAUGUGACAAAGUCAGAUAUUCGGCUUAUUGAUCCCUUUGGGAUUGACAUAGAGGUUCCAGUUCCGGAUUCAUCCAUGCCAUCUGGUGUGCCACCUGAUAGUGCUUCAGCCUCGCCUGUGCCUGAGUCUGCUCCUUCGACUGUUGAGACUGGAGACCCACCACCUCUGAGGAGGUCUACUCGACCUUGUAAGUCCACCAAACUGCCAGAUUUUUACUAUUCUACAUAUUCAGCCUCAUUUGCUUCCUUUAUUGCAAACAUACAUCAUUUGUCUGAACCUGAGUCGUAUAGAGAGGCUGUGUCUGAUCCUCUUUGGCAGAAUGCUAUGGCUGAGGAACUUGCUGCUCUUCAUCAUACACAUACAUGGGAUUUGGUUACUCUCCCACCUGGUAAGCAUGCGAUUGGUUGUCGAUGGGUGUAUAAGAUAAAAACAAAAUCUGAUGGGUCUGUUGAGCGAUACAAGGCAAGACUUGUGGCAAAAGGGUAUUCACAACAAUAUGGUAUGGAUUAUGAGGAGACUUUUUCCCCCGUAGCAAAGAUGACGACUGUUCGCACUAUGAUUGCUGUUGCAUCCGUUCGACAGUGGAAGAUAUUUCAGAUGGAUGUCAAGAAUGCUUUUCUGAAUGGUGAUCUCCACGCGGAAGUUUAUAUGACUCCUCCCCCAGGUAUUGACCACCAGCCAGGUGAAGUUUGUCGGCUUCGAAAAGCUUUAUAUGGUCUCAAACAAGCCCCUCGUGCUUGGUUUGAGAAAUUCUCCACUGUUAUUACUUCCCUUGGAUUUGUCCCGAGUAACCAUGAUUCAGCAUUGUUUGUUAGAUGUACAAGUGCAGGGCGAAUUCUAUUGUCCUUAUAUGUAGAUGAUAUGAUUAUUACUGGUGAUGAUCAUAGUGGUAUUGAGUUAUUGAAGCAUGAUUUGGCUCAUCGAUUUGCAAUGAAGGACUUGGGCUUGCUGCGUUAUUUUCUGGGUAUUGAGGUGGCUCAGUCUAAGAAAGGGUAUCUUCUUUCUCAGACUAAGUAUAUAUCUGACUUGUUUACACGGGCGCGUCUUUCUGACAACAGGACUGUAGAUACUCCCCUUGAAACCAAUGCACGUUACUCUCCUAGUGAUGGUGUUCCAUUAUCAGAUCCGAGUCUUUAUCGGACUAUUGUGGGUAGUUUGGUUUAUCUUACGGUUACUCGUCCAGAUAUAGCACAUGCAGUUCAUGUUGUUAGCCAGUUUGUUACUGCUCCUACUUCUGUGCACUGGGGAGCUGUACUUCGUAUUCUAAGGUAUCUUCGUGGCACUCAGUUUCAGAAUCUCUUGUUUCCCUCGACGUCAUCUCUCGAGUUGCGAGCCUAUAGUGAUGCUGAUUGGGAUGGAGAUCGCAAUGAUCGUAAAUCCACCACUGGUUUUUGUGUGUUUCUUGGAGACUCUUUAAUCUCGUGGAAGAGCAAGAAACAAGAUGUUGUCUCUAGAUCUUCCACGGAGGCUGAGUAUCGUGCUAUGGCUGUGACUACAUGUGAGAUUAUUUGGUUACGUUGGCUUCUUGCAGAUAUGGGGGUUCACAUUUCUAUGCCUACUCCCCUGCAUUGUGAUAACAAAAGUGCGGUACAAAUUGCAAAGAAUUCUGUCUUCCAUGAGCGUACGAAGCACAUUGAGAUUGAUUGUCACUUCACCCGUCAUCAUUUACAGCUCGGGACCAUAUCGCUUCCUUUUGUUCCAUCGUCUUUGCAGAUUGCUGACCUUUUUACGAAGGCUCAGUCGGCGUCUCGAUUUCGUUUUUUGUGUGACAAACUCUCAAUGCUUAUUGCUGUUGCAUUGUGAGUUUGAGGGGGGAUGUUAGCCCAUAUGUUAUUGGGCCUUUAGUUUAUGGACCUUUAGGUUAUUGGCUAUGUAUAUAUAGCCUACUUUUGUUUAGUUAGUUUCAGGCUUUUCAGAUUAUAUUGUAAACCUUAGCCUUUCUUCCCUUCAAUAAAGUUCUAUUAACACCUAUAUAGUCCGGUAAUUUGUUCUUUCGUAUAUCCAAAUUCAAUAUUCCAUUUAUGUAUCCAUGGAAUAGAGAAUUCAAUGAAGAAAUACAUCUGAUCGAUCUUAUCUAAAUUACAUACAUGAUCAGAAUGAUAUAAUUCUGUCAGGAAAGGUGAAACUUUAAUCCAUUCUUUAUAUAUGAGGGGGGAUGUUAGCCCAUAUGUUAUUGGGCCUUUAGUUUAUGGACCUUUAGGUUAUUGGCUAUGUAUAUAUAGCCUACUCUUGUUUUAGUUAGUUUCAAGCUUUUCAGAUUAUAUUGUAAACCUUAGCCUUUCUUCCCUUCAAUAAAGUUCUAUUAACAGUUGCAACUGUAUUUUCACCUGAAUAGUAGUAUGCGUUAAAGUGUUGUUGUCAUGACCUAUUGGUAGUGAUAUUGGACCAAGAAGUUGGGGAUGUGAAGUCACAAAGUUAGAAGUCAGAGUGAGGAUGACUUUUGUGUAAAUGAAUAUUUUAGUUGAAUAACCGAUGUUCGAGAAUGAUUUACCCCCUUUAUGGUGAUAGACUAAUGUGGUAGCUAGUAGCAUGUGUGGAUUGUAUGGUAGUCUGUGGGGGAAGUGUUUGACUCAGAUUUUUAUUUAUACAGAGUAAGAUGUGUAUCCUUAGAUCAUUGAAUAUUGUGUGUCAAUUUUCUAUCUCUUGUAAUAUGUAAUCUUAUUAUCAUGGUGUUUUUGAAAAAAAUCAAAGUCUAGUGAAGCCGUGUGGGGCUCUUUUGAUUCACUAGCAUAGUUUUUUUGUUAUGCAUUUCAUUUCUUGUUCAAAACACAAAAAUCAAAGUCUAGUGAAGCCGUGUGAGGCCUAUUUCUAUUCACUAGCAGCUUGCUAUCCAACUUGUUGUUCUUGUGUUGGUUUAAUAUAUGUAUAGCUGAAUCUGUUUGCAUGAAAUUGAGUAAGUAAUUAGGAGGUGAGAGAUCAGUAUAAGUAGAUAAGAUUAUAUGGGAUUAUAAUAUCAGAUUAAGGUUAACCAUGCCUAUUAUGUGAAUUUACCCCCCCUUGACCUUCUUUUGUUGGUAGUUGUAAACUAGUACUACUUGUGAGAAGAUAUGUAGUAGAUAUGUGAGGUAUUUGGAUAGAAUGUUCAGAUUUGAUGGACUAGUAUUAUGUUGCCUUCUUCAUUGAUGGUAGAUGAUUGAUGCUAGACUAUUGGCUUGAAUUUAAUGUAGAAUGUGGAUGUCGGAAUAGUGAAAUGAGAUUGAUAGUGUUGGGCUCUUUUAUAUGAUCUUGAUUCUCAUAGUAAUGAGAUAUAAGUUCGGAGUCGCGAUAUUGGUAGGCUAUGAUGAAAGUGGUAUGGUUCAUCAAAGGCUCGGUGAUAUCCAUGUUAAGUGUUAGAAAUCUAAGUUUGAGCUUUAAAGGUUGAACCGAUAGAAAUAAGUGUGCAAGCAUCAUACUAUGACUAUUGGGGCUAUCGAAAUAUAGAGUGUAUCUCAGAAGGUAGUAUUAGCAGUGGGAUUUCCACUUUCAUGUGUGGUCUUUCGGGUUAAAUUUCUAUUUAAUUAUGUGUAUUGUUGUAUUCCAUACCCCAGAGUGUGGUGAGUGUAGUUCGGCUUAGAGUCUAGUAUAAGGGAUCUCUUGAACUUAAUAUGAUGGCUUAAAGCCAAGGGGGAGAUGAUANNNNNNNNNNNNNNNNNNNNNNNNNNNNNNNNNNNNNNNNNNNNNNNNNNNNNNNNNNNNNNNNNNNNNNNNNNNNNNNNNNNNNNNNNNNNNNNNNNNNNNNNNNNNNNNNNNNNNNNNNNNNNNNNNNNNNNNNNNNNNNNNNNNNNNNNNNNNNNNNNNNNNNNNNNNNNNNNNNNNNNNNNNNNNNNNNNNNNNNNNNNNNNNNNNNNNNNNNNNNNNNNNNNNNNNNNNNNNNNNNNNNNNNNNNNNNNNNNNNNNNNNNNNNNNNNNNNNNNNNNNNNNNNNNNNNNNNNNNNNNNNNNNNNNNNNNNNNNNNNNNNNNNNNNNNNNNNNNNNNNNNNNNNNNNNNNNNNNNNNNNNNNNNNNNNNNNNNNNNNNNNNNNNNNNNNNNNNNNNNNNNNNNNNNNNNNNNNNNNNNNNNNNNNNNNNNNNNNNNNNNNNNNNNNNNNNNNNNNNNNNNNNNNNNNNNNNNNNNNNNNNNNNNNNNNNNNNNNNNNNNNNNNNNNNNNNNNNNNNNNNNNNNNNNNNNNNNNNNNNNNNNNNNNNNNNNNNNNNNNNNNNNNNNNNNNNNNNNNNNNNNNNNNNNNNNNNNNNNNNNNNNNNNNNNNNNNNNNNNNNNNNNNNNNNNNNNNNNNNNNNNNNNNNNNNNNNNNNNNNNNNNNNNNNNNNNNNNNNNNNNNNNNNNNNNNNNNNNNNNNNNNNNNNNNNNNNNNNNNNNNNNNNNNNNNNNNNNNNNNNNNNNNNNNNNNNNNNNNNNNNNNNNNNNNNNNNNNNNNNNNNNNNNNNNNNNNNNNNNNNNNNNNNNNNNNNNNNNNNNNNNNNNNNNNNNNNNNNNNNNNNNNNNNNNNNNNNNNNNNNNNNNNNNNNNNNNNNNNNNNNNNNNNNNNNNNNNNNNNNNNNNNNNNNNNNNNNNNNNNNNNNNNNNNNNNNNNNNNNNNNNNNNNNNNNNNNNNNNNNCUAAGCUUGAAAGUAAGAAGUUGUAUUGCCAAAGGUCUGGUAAUUCUAUCCUAAUUUAGGAGUUAUAUGUCUAUAUUCCAGACUGUAGAGUAGUGUCAAUGUUGUGAUUUCCUCAGUGGGAUGUCUUGUGUAAUCCAUACCCAAGAUUUGUGGCUCCCUAUUACUGUUAGAACUUCUUUAGAGAGAGCGUUGAAGAGAUACUCCAGUUAAGUAUGAGGGUCAAGCAUAAUUCAGUCUGUAUAGCCAGUAAGUCAGUUUAGCAGUCAGAUUUGCAUGACUUGUUUUCUCGUCUUUUCAUUUAUUCAUGCUACCCGAAAUCUCAGACAUGAUAUUAUUCCAAGAUAGAGUAUACUAGUAAUUGCGAGUAUAGCUCAGUUCAUGCUUCAUGCAUUAGAUUCAAAAUCCAAAGGUUCAGUUAUGAAUCAAAUCGUAGGUGCCUUGUGCAUUGCCUCCAUUUUCCGAGUAUCUUAGUGAAUUGAGAACUCAUAGAGGGAUAUAGGGUCCCAAGGGGGAGAUACCCCAUUCGGUUGCAUGCAUAGGUUCUUAUUACAAGCUUCGCAUCAGUUGUUAUUGCGUAUUCAGUCAUACGUUCUUGUGUCAGUUCAGUCAGAUAUGCCUGCAUUAGAAAUGCAUGUUCAAUAGAAAAAGUUCAGCUUAUCAGUGUAUUCAGUCCUGCGUUAAUGAGGAAAACUCAGACACAGACCCAUGCAUCAGAUAUGCAUGUUCGGUAUAAGAAUUCAGAACAUCAGUAGUUCCAGUCUUAUAGUCAUGUUUCAGAUCAGUGUAUUCUUUAUUAAAGGACAUGUCAUGUCGGCGUUAUUCCAUAGCUUUAAGGCUUCAACAAGUUCCUAUCCAUCAUUCGAGGAUGAAUGAUCCCAAGGGGGAGAUAAUGUAACGCCCCGUAAAAGGCAUGCAUAUAUUAGUCUUUAAUAUUGAGCUCUUAGACUUAAUGACUUAAAAUUUUCUAAGUGUAAAAUGAGACUUAGUCAUUUUAGCUGGCAAUCUUUGGGAUACAACUUUUCAACAUUCCUGACAUCCGUUUUUAGAUUUUCAAGUUGUGUUACGAUCGGUAAAGAUCAUAGUGCAUCUCGGAUAAGUUUUGUAAUUUUUUGGAAUGCAUAAGGCUGCGUUUGGAUUUUAAAAUAGUAGCAAAACGCAUAGCCUAUUGCCCAGUUUUCAGCAUUUCAGGGUCAACUUCAAACAAUCAUAACUCCCUGUAUAAUGAACUGUGUGAGCUAUAAUAUAUCAAACGAAAGAUCUUUGAUUCCUAUUUCAAAUGCAGUUGGUUUCAUCCAAACUUAUUAUAUGAGUAAAACGUUAUAAUCGAUUUACUCCGGACUGUCAAACCGUCAACUGAGGGACAGAUUUGACCUUAAUUGUUCCUUAGGGGUAUUUUGGUCAUCCUUCACCCUUAUAUAUACCACCAACAUGGGAUUUAAUCCCUCAAACACCAAAAUACACCUUCAUUCAUCAAAAUUGCUCAAGAACACUCCUUAGGGUUUCAAACUAAAAACCCAAAUAGUUCAAGAUUUGACCGUAGGUUUUCGAAGAUAAUUACANNNNNNNNNNNNNNNNNNNNNNNNNNNNNNNNNNNNNNNNNNNNNNNNNNNNNNNNNNNNNNNNNNNNNNNNNNNNNNNNNNNNNNNNNNNNNNNNNNNNNNNNNNNNNNNNNNNNNNNNNNNNNNNNNNNNNNNNNNNNNNNNNNNNNNNNNNNNNNNNNNNNNNNNNNNNNNNNNNNNNNNNNNNNNNNNNNNNNNNNNNNNNNNNNNNNNNNNNNNNNNNNNNNNNNNNNNNNNNNNNNNNNNNNNNNNNNNNNNNNNNNNNNNNNNNNNNNNNNNNNNNNNNNNNNNNNNNNNNNNNNNNNNNNNNNNNNNNNNNNNNNNNNNNNNNNNNNNNNNNNNNNNNNNNNNNNNNNNNNNNNNNNNNNNNNNNNNNNNNNNNNNNNNNNNNNNNNNNNNNNNNNNNNNNNNNNNNNNNNNNNNNNNNNNNNNNNNNNNNNNNNNNNNNNNNNNNNNNNNNNNNNNNNNNNNNNNNNNNNNNNNNNNNNNNNNNNNNNNNNNNNNNNNNNNNNNNNNNNNNNNNNNNNNNNNNNNNNNNNNNNNNNNNNNNNNNNNNNNNNNNNNNNNNNNNNNNNNNNNNNNNNNNNNNNNNNNNNNNNNNNNNNNNNNNNNNNNNNNNNNNNNNNNNNNNNNNNNNNNNNNNNNNNNNNNNNNNNNNNNNNNNNNNNNNNNNNNNNNNNNNNNNNNNNNNNNNNNNNNNNNNNNNNNNNNNNNNNNNNNNNNNNNNNNNNNNNNNNNNNUGGGUCGAGACACCAUGCUUUGUGGUCUUAUGUGUCUCUCCCUCACUUAUACUCUAAUCUCGGCAGCAACCGAGGUUUGGAAGUUAGUGUAAAUUAUGUAGGGUAUUCCACCUAACUCAGUUGCAUUUCAUUGUUGUUGAGAAACUAUUGUAUUAUACUCAUGUGUUUUCAAAUGAUUUAAUAUGAAAUUGUUUUAUAAUGGCUCUCAACUAUAUUUUGUAAAAAUAUUAUGUUUUGUUUUGAUAUCUCUAUGUGCCAGUACUUUUGUGCUGACCCCAUCCCCUGUCCAACCUCUCAAGUUCAGAGGCCCAAUCUAGGGGUCAAGAGAAUCAGUAGAUCAUUCAGACAGAGUUGCAGAGACAAGUGGUGAGCCUUCUAUGUUUCGGAAGGUCUUAUGUCCUGCAGUCCUGUUAUCUUAUAUUUAGUUUUGGGGUCUACUGGAGCCUUGUCCCAGUUUAUACACAGCUACUUGACUCAUUCAUUUGUUAGAGAUUUUCGUAGACAGUUGUUUAGAGGUUGAUUGAUGUUGGGGGAACUUUAUUUCCCCGUUAUUGUUUCUUUUCAUAUUUAUGACCAUGUUUUCGAAUUAUUGUGUUUCUUGUGCAUUACUUUGAUCAUAUGAAUUAGGUGCAUGAUUACCAGACAGAUAGAGGUGUUUCGGGCCUCCAUGGUUCAAAAUGCUCGUCACGUCCAGGCCCUGGUUCGGGUCAUGAUAGCAAGGGUUGGAGUUCGUGAAUCUGAUAUGCCACACGACACUUAAGUCAGCGUCUAAUGAUAUACCCGGGUCAGCAAACCAUGGUUUUAGGAAAUGAGUUGCUUGAACUCAAGCCUUCUUCAGGGAACCACCUAACAUCUCUGUAUGCCCAUUUUUAACCUUUUUUGUAAUGCAACAGUCUGUCUAAAAUCAUGAUAGUCUGAAAUGUCUAUUAGUCUGAGUCUGAUAUGACAUUGGUCUGAAUUGGUAUCGUCAUACCAAGACUUGCAAGUCAUGAUUUCUGAGCCAUAAUACAUUAAGCUAAAUCUUUCAUUUAAAGCAUAAUUUAGACCACCAAAAACAUGCAACUGAUAUAGAAGAUUUNNNNNNNNNNNNNNNNNNNNNNNNNNNNNNNNNNNNNNNNNNNNNNNNNNNNNNNNNNNNNNNNNNNNNNNNNNNNNNNNNNNNNNNNNNNNNNNNNNNNNNNNNNNNNNNNNNNNNNNNNNNNNNNNNNNNNNNNNNNNNNNNNNNNNNNNNNNNNNNNNNNNNNNNNNNNNNNNNNNNNNNNNNNNNNNNNNNNNNNNNNNNNNNNNNNNNNNNNNNNNNNNNNNNNNNNNNNNNNNNNNNNNNNNNNNNNNNNNNNNNNNNNNNNNNNNNNNNNNNNNNNNNNNNNNNNNNNNNNNNNNNNNNNNNNNNNNNNNNNNNNNNNNNNNNNNNNNNNNNNNNNNNNNNNNNNNNNNNNNNNNNNNNNNNNNNNNNNNNNNNNNNNNNNNNNNNNNNNNNNNNNNNNNNNNNNNNNNNNNNNNNNNNNNNNNNNNNNNNNNNNNNNNNNNNNNNNNNNNNNNNNNNNNNNNNNNNNNNNNNNGACUGAAUUUCGUGUUUAUGGCUGAAUAAGGGUGAGAAAAGAACCAUUUUGCCCAAAAAACGGAGUGUUUAAGUCACUUAAAACAUAAGAUAUGCGCCGUAUAUGAUAUCGUAUAUAUUUACAUAGGCGCCGCAUAUGAUAUCGCCUAUAUUUACAUAGGCGCCGCAUAUGAUAUCGUCUAUAUUUACAUAGGCGCCGCAUAUGCUUUCCAGUGGCCAUGUGUGAUUGGUUAGGCGACGCAUACUACUUUGAAAGGCCAUAACUUCUUGCUCGGGUGUCGGAUUUUAGCAAAAUUGGUAUCGUUGGAAAGUUAACUCGAAGACCUAUCAUUUGACACACAGUAGGCUCUCUAAUUCGACAUAUAUAGAGAGUUAUGGUCAAUGGAAACUGACUCAAAUUACAACGUCCACUAAAACUUAAUCGAUCGAAAUAGUUUUGAAAUCAUCCUUGAGUUGAAGGACCUCUAUGGUCUAAAUUCAUGCUCAAAUGGAUUCACAUACUACAUAAACAUGCCAAAUUGCCAUAGGAUUUAAGGCUCUGGGAUUAUCAACGCAUCAAAGUCAUGGUUUUUAUUCUAGCCCGAAAUGCGGGGUGUUGCACAACUUCACAGGGGUCCUGAACUCAAUUUAAGUGUAUUUUUGUCACCCUUUUGUGCUGACGUAACACCUUUAUUACAUAAAAUUGGGGUCAAUUCAAAGCUGUCAUAUCAGAUAAAAAGGUUGAUAAAAGGUGUCACGUCAGCUAAAAAGAUUGACAAAAAUACGCUAAAAUUUAGUUCAAGGGGUAAUAGAACACCUAUGAAGUUAGAGUGUGUCGUAGCAAAUUCGGUCAUAGUUCAUGAAACCUAUAUUUUGUAAGGCUAUACGUUUUUAGCAUAAACAUAUCUACCAUUGUUUUCUAUGAAGUAGAAAACCUUAUACUCCUAGUCAAGAGUUUAUGUUAUGUCGAAAAUAAUUUUUACGCUAUCAAGUUAUAUUGACAUGCACUAACAGUUAAUUGUCCUCGUCAACAACAAUAUAUUAAAUUUACGACAGCAAUGUUAGAACAUACAUGGGUGGAUUCACAACGUUGGUUUUAUGGAUUCACCAUUUGAAUCUAAUGGAUAAAUAUUUUGACUUGAGAACCCAUUAAUUUAAGUUAUGUACAAAGGAAUUUACUACCGGAAACCAAACACUGUAUCAGUUAUGCAGAGAUUAUAUAAUCAUUAACAGAUAAAAGGCAUGUAAAUUGCGAGCACAGUAUUCUCAACAUGAACAUGUAUAUAUGUGUGAGUCUCUUUGUGUUGCUGAUAAAGAUGGACUAUAUGUGUUAUUCUCAACGGAAGCUUUAUGCACCGAGCUGCCUUUUUCCUUGUGUGUGUGUGUUAUAUAGAGAGCGAGAGGAAGAGAGAAAAUCCACUAACUAUCAACAAAUAUAAUAUUUUAAAUCCAUAAUUUCUAAAGUACAAUAAGUACAGCUUCAAGAAUUUCGAAGGUUGAAUCUUUCAAGUUUAAGUCCUGCAGAUGACUGUCUAUAUCUGUGUCUGGAACUUCGGAUAGCAUGUAUCCUGGAAAUUUCAUUGCAUCUUUUAAGGCAUAUUUCUUAUCACAUUUAGUUGGUUUAUCGUAGUAUUCUGUUGUAGUUAUUGUUCCUUUAAUUUGGUGCACCGGGCUGCUUUGAAUUGUUUUUCCUUGCGCUGAAGGUCUUAUCAAAAUUCGGAAAUUCUCCCCAAACUCCACUUGCUGUUGCUGUACCAUGAAUUAUUUAGUGAAGAUACAUUGGGUCUAUAGCAUUGUCGGUGCCGAAAAAAUGAUCUUACAUAAAUUGUUAUAUCAUGUGAUAAAGGAUGUAUUGGUAAAAUAACAUGUAAUUCUUCGGUCAUUCAAGGUAUUCGGUAAAAACUGAAAUAAGUAGUUGAAUUAUACAUUUGGAAGAAAUAUCAAAUUCUUCUUAAACUCAUCAUCAUAUAUAUUUGGAGCAAUAAGUACAAGUAGUAGCUCGCAUUCAUGCCUCCCUACUCGCUUAUAUUCUUCAUCUUACUCUCAUCAUAUUUUUCUCCAAGUAUAAAUAAAAGCCAAGAAGUACAAUAAAAUAGAGAGGCAACCUAUGAAACAGACAGUAACGGCAAGACCAAGUGAAUGUGAUAAAGUAGCAAACAUACCAGUUGCGAAUGCAAUUACAACUGCUAACAUUGACAAGCACAGGCAAACAACUGAGAGAUGAUAAAGCUUCUCUAAAGUUUUCGUACCUUCAGGAUCUAUACUUACAUCUGCCAUGAGGAAGUAGAUGAAUAUGGCAACAGCUGAGCAUGUGAAGGCAAUGGCAUCGGAAACAACAAAUGCACGAAAUGCUGUUUUCCUUGUUAGAAUCGCCAUCCCUUGAUUAUGGCUAUCGGAGUCACUCACAAAACCUCCUGGCAAUGUGAUGCCAGCGGCGAAAGUGACUGUCAUUAAUAAAGUCGCCACGACAAUAUGGAAUUGAGCUGACUUCAUAAUACUUUUGAUUACUGUUUGAUAUGCCUUUUUAGCUUUAUCGUGAUCAUCUUCCCUCAGUUGCAUUUUGCCUACUGUUCCCGUUUCAGCAUUUGGAUUGGGCAUGUACUCUUCCUUCCGCUUUACCUCAAAGUCACGUUUUCCAAAUCGGCCAAUGCUACACAAUUCCUCCAUCAAUUUCUCCUAUUUUCAUCAAUAGGACAGUUUAUAGUGAGUCGGUCGAAAAAUUUAACUGAGAACUAAUCUGUUCAUAGCUUAGGAGGCAAUGAUAUCAUCUAAAAUAAAUUACAGUUUUACUUGACCACAUCAAGAAUGGUCAGAAAGAUAAGUUGGAUCUAUAAAAGCAUUGUUAUUAAAAGUUAAAAGAGUAUUCCAUAGCAAUGCAACCAGUAUUUGAAAAACAAAUGUGUGACUGACUGCUUACCUUCUUUGUCGCUGCUUUGCAUGACAAUGCUAUAUCAAGUGGAGUCUGGUUUUGUUUGUUAAAUGGCAUCUUCUUUGCUCUAGGAUGGUUUAAUAAUUCAGGCACAUAGUUACCAGAGGCAGCAAGCAAAUGGAGAGGAGUGUUGCCGUCACUAUCUGGCUCAUCAACAAGGCUGUCGCACUUAUCAGAGUCUAAUAAGAAGUGGACUACCUCGUGUUGAUUGUUCAGUACGGCAACAUGAAGAGCAUUUUGAUUGUUUCUGUUAAGCAUAUCCCAAAAAUCAGGGCAGUGAUUUAAUAGCUCAAUGAUCAUGUCUACAUCACCUUCACUGGCUGCAAUGUGAAUUGCUGUCGUCCAGUCAUUUUCAUUGCCUGCCGGAAGGUACACUAAGGAUUUUUUCCACGCCAGCAUAUCAGAUACUACGUCCGCCAAUCCUAAUUUAACAGCAUAGUGCAGUGAAUUCCAACCCCAUAAGUCAGGUUCCUCGCAUAAAGGCUUAUUCCAACGCCAGAGUGAUCUAAUGCAAUCUGGAUGUGUCAACACGAUAAAUGCGUAAUAAGGGGUUAGAUCAUCUCGCAAAUAUAGUUGCACAACAGACAUUACGAAAUCAUCAACAGAAAUCACAGAUAAAUGUUUUUUAGAGCGGUCGCAUAACAAGUGAUCGGAAUGCUACAUAAGUUGAUUAUAAGUUGAUGCGGCUAAUGGAGGAUCCUAUUGAAACUAUCGACAUGAUUAAUACGAAUUUACGCAGACGAUGUUAAUUAUGGGAAAUUUGAAUUGAGACGAUGCACGAUACUGCAAAUUACAAAAGGUUUGUACCUUUAUGUUCCUGAAUUACUGCUGCAUGCAGCGGCGUUCUAUUAGAUGGACCUGCAGCAUAAGUUGAUUUCUUGCAGUACUCCAAGAUAUUAAUCAAAGCAUCAUGAAAACCAGAUUCAGCCGCCAGAUACAGUGGCGUCUCCUGUGCAUGGUUAGGCGGAAAUUCAAAUUCAGGAUCUUCUUUCACCAAGAGCUUAACUACAUCUAGAUGUUGGCUCCUCACGGACUUGUGCAGGGCUGUAUCUCCGCUAGCAUCCGUCAUCCUCGUGAGUUUCUCCUUAGUAUUAUGAUCUUCGACACAUGCAAGUAGCAUACGUACUACUUCAGUGUGCCCUUCAUUAGCUGCUAGGUGAAGAGCUGUUUCAUUUUUCUUGUUUUGACAGCAUAACAUUGCCGGAGUAAUCUUAAGGACUUCUUCCGCGAAAUGGGAGUGGCCAUAGAGGGCUGCGACAUGGAGGACCGUGUUUCCCUUUGGAGUGACUUGGUAGCCGUUUUCUUCAUCCCUUUUCAGAUGAUCAGCAAGUAGAAAAUUGGCAUCUCCGAUAUUGCCUUUCAUCACAGCAUUAUACAAGGUCGGAUCCAUUCCUUUUGAUUUGGUGUUUUAUCCAAAAUCUCCCAAUGAUAAUCCUGUGAGUCCUUUGCUUUCUCUGAUGAAACAUUAUUAUAUAUAUUCUUAAUGAAUCUCAAAGAAGAAAGGGAUCUGGUGCUUGCCUUGAUCACAAGAAAGGGAUUUUGAUGUUUUCGUAUUUUCGCUUUCAUUAUGGUUCUUUUCUCCUAAAAACAAACAAGUAGAGUAGUCACCGGAACAAAGAAAAUCUUGUAGCAACUCAAAUAAGCUAAAGAUGAAACUUACCAAAACAAUAAUGGCGCUCGUUAGCUCCAAUUGCCCCAUGAGACUGGCGAACGUUGCUCCUUUUCCCUUUACUCAACAUAUGCUCUUCGCGGAUCUACAACAUCCAAACUGAAAACCAGCACAUUCGCGAUAAAUUGAAUUUGAAUUCAUAAAUUGUAACGCCCCAUAAAAGGCGUGCAUAGAUAAGUCUUUAAUAUUGAGCUCUUAGACUUAAUGACUUAAAAUUUUCUAAGUGUAAAAUGAGACUUAGUCAUUUUAGCUAGCAAUCUUCGGGAUACAACUUUUCAACCUUUCCGACAUCCGUUUUUAGAUUUUCAAGUUGCGUUACGAUCGGGAAAGCUCAUAGUUCAUCUCGGAUAAGUUUCGGAAUUUUUCGGAACGCAUAAGGCUGCGUUUGGAUUUCAAAACAGUAGUAAAACACAUAGCCUAUUGCGCAGUUUUCAGCAUUUCAGGGUCAACUUCAAACAAUUAUAAAUCCCUGUAUAUAAUGAACUGUGUGAACUAUAAUAUAUCAAACCAAAUAUCUUUGAGUCCUCUUUCAAAUGCAGUGGGUUUCAUCCAAUUUGAUUAUAUGAGUAAGAAGUUAUAAUCGAUUUACUCCAGACUAUCAAACUAUCAAUUGAGGGACAGAUUUGACCUUAAUUGUUCCUUAGGGGUAUUUUGGUCAUCCUUCACCCCUAUAUAUACCACCAUCCCGGGAUUUAAUCCCUCAAACACCAAAAUACACCUUCAUUCAUCAAAAUUGCUCAAGAACACUCCUUAGGGUUUCAAAAUAAAAACCCAAAUAGUUCAAGAUUCAACCGUAGGUUUUCGAAGAUAAUUACAUAUUCGGAAUCACAAAUCCGCGAGCUUCAAGAAACAUCUAGUAUUUUCGGAAAUAGAGGUACGUGGGGUUAUCCUAAAAUCUCAUAGGUGUAGUUUUUAUGAACAUGCAUGCUUUUAAAUGGGGGUUUUCAAUCAAAUGCUAAUAACUUGCUUUCAAUAUGAUUUCUAAGUCAUUUUUCUUUAUGUCAUGNNNNNNNNNNNNNNNNNNNNNNNNNNNNNNNNNNNNNNNNNNNNNNNNNNNNNNNNNNNNNNNNNNNNNNNNNNNNNNNNNNNNNNNNNNNNNNNNNNNNNNNNNNNNNNNNNNNNCAUGAUAAUGCCUAGAUAUCUCAUAUCAUAUUGUGACCAACAAAAGAGAGCAUGAAUUUGAAAUAAUUAUUGUUCACCACUUGUAAAUGAUGAAGCACCUUGGUUUUUACAUGAUUAUGCAUAUGUGGAUAUGAUAUUGAUGACUUGCAAGUUGGGUAUGACAAUACCCUACAGAAUAUGAUACGUGUUUGAAUUAAAUGAAGUUUGAAUGCAUUGAUUUUACAUGAGAUAGGUGGAUGUCCGAAGAAGGCGUUUGAGUGUAAGGGCUCAUCGCUGGAAACCGUGUUUGCCGACACGGGAAUUUGGUACCAGGCUAAGUGAUCUUGUGUACUUGACUUUAUGUCAUUCCCAAAUUGGGACUAUAGGUAGGAGCCCGGGCUAAGUGAUCUUGGGCACUAACAUUGGGUCGAGACACCCUGCUUCGUGGUCUUGUGUGUCUCUCCCCUCUCCAACCUCUCAGGUUCAGAGGCCCAGUCUAGGGGUCAAGAGAAUCAGUAGAUCAUUCAGACAGAGUUGCAGAGACAAGUGGUGAGCCUUCUAUGUUUUAGAAGGUCUUAUGUCCUGCAGUCCUUUUAUCUUAUAUUUAGUUUUGGGGUCUACUGGGGGCCUUGUCCCAGUUUAUAUAUAAUUACUUGACUCAGUCAUUUGUUAGAGAUUUUCGCAAAAAGUUGUUUAGAGGUUGAUAGAUGUUGGGGAAACUUUAUUUCCCCAUUAUUGUUUCUUUUCAUAUUUAUGACCAUGUUUCUGAAUUAUUGUGUUUCUUCCGCAUUACUUUGAUCAUAUGAAUUAGGUGCAUGAUUACCAGACAGAUAGGGGUGUUGCGGGCCUCCAUGGUUUGUAAUGCUCGUCACGGCCAGGCCUGGUUCGGGUCGUGGCAUAAAUAGUGAAGAAGGGUCAAUAGAAGGAUACCAAGAAAAAUGCUCCGAAAAAGGUCUUUUACCAUUGUUGCAUAAACACAACAUAUUCCUCUAUAGAAGGCCCUAUGGAGUAAAGGGAAGUGCAUGAAUUCUUGGAAAAAGAGGGAGCGAGCCUAUAUAAAAUAGAAAAUUUCAUGAAUAGAUAGAGUCAACGGUACAACAGACAGCGCCGCCUAUGUGAAAUCUUUGCGGAGGGGUUCGUAUUAGCUAUACUGGCACUUAAACAACCCAUCCAAAACUGCAGGCAGUGAGUUUAGCAAGGAUAUUUUGAUGAGCGGUGUAAAGAAACAUAAUAGAAUUAAAGUUCCAAUCGUAUCGGAGAGGCAGUGGCAUAUUUGAUUUCAGAGAGGAAAUCUCCGAUCGCACAUCAUAUAGCUUACUCUAAAAUAAGGCAGCUUUAAUAAAUGAAAUUAAAACCAUGACCAUAUUAUACAAUAAGAGUUCAUAUUAAAUUUGAAACAAGAUGUUGAUGACAUAUCUAUCACUCAAGAACAUUAUACAAAAAGAUUGAAGAACUGCAAGCCAGUGAACAUGUCAAGGUUGUAACAUAGACGCGAGUCUCUGUGUAAGUUACGUAGGAAGUUUCAGAUCAUAAGGUCCAUUCUUUCACCAGAGCAACGUUACUUCUUACUAACACGCGAUAUUAUCUAUAGUAGCUUGCUUUCUCAUUCAUGGAACAUGGGAUUCUUUAGCUAAAGCAAUAGUACUUCUUAUUAACAUGUGAUAUUAUCUAUAGUAGCUUCUCUUGAAGCAUCUUUAUCAACCUCCAACGCCAAAUUGUAUGACUAACACAUAAGGCAGCUGAAACAUACUCGACUUUACGAGUUAAGAGAGGAACCAAAAAAAAAAAAAAAGAAAAAGAGAAAAACAUGAGAAUAUUAUCAUAGGUUGCUUCUUUUGUAAUUUCUCCAAAAGAAAAGAUUACAGUGUAAAGCAUCAUAGCUAUGCGUAGGUUCGGGGGAUGAGGGCCAGACCAUAGGGAUCUAUUGUACGUGGCCUUAUCCUGCAUUUUGACAAGAGUCUGCAUUAUAAAGCAUUGAAUUUGAAAUACGAAGAGAUUUUAGUAAAACUUGAUUUUGCUGCCAUGUGACCAGGAGGUCACCGGUUCAAGCCUUGGAAAAAGCCUUUGGCAGGAGUACAAGUUAAGGCUGCAUAAAAUACACCCUUUUGGUAGGGCCCUUCCCCGGACCUUACGCAUAGCGGGAGCUCUCGUGCACCGGGCUUAUAUAGUAAAAAAGUGUUUUUAUUGGAAAAAAGUGUCAUGACAAGAAGAUCUCAUAUAGUAAAAAGAUGUUUUGUUUGCUUCUGGUCAAAGCAAACAAUAAGUACCUUUCUUUUGAUCAAAGGCAAAGAUCUGUGUAGUGUUCAGAAUAAAGAAUUCACAAGAUUAAUUUAAUAUAGGAGAUUUUGGAUAAAUCCGCAAAGCAAAUAAAAGAAAAGAAAAUGGAUCCAACCUUGAACAAUGCCGCGGUGGAAGGUAAUAUCAGUAAUGGUGAUUUUGUACUUGCUGAAUAUCUGAAAAGGGAUGAAGAAAAUGUGUACCAAGUCACUCCACGGGCAACACAAUCUUACACAUGGCGGCACAUUAUGGCCGCUCCCAUUUCGCAUCAAAAGUCCUUAAGAUUACUCCGGCAUUGUUAUGCCAUCAGAACAAGAAGAAUGAGACUGCGCUUCACAUAGAAGCUAAUGAAGGUCGCAUCGAAGUAGUCCACUUGCUACUUAGUAUGGAGGAGCAUUAUAAGGAGACGCUAAUGACGAUGACAGAUGAGAAUGGAGAUACAGCCCUGCAAAAGUCCGUGCGAAGCUGACAUCAAGAUGUAGCCAGACUUUUGGUGAAAGAAGAUCCUGAAUUCGAAUUUCCAUCCAACAAGGCCCGGGAGACACCGCUGUAUCUGGAAACUGAGUCUGGUGUUCGUGAAGCUUUGAGUGAAAUCUUUAACUCAUGCAAGCAAUCAACUUCUUCUGCAGGUCCAUUAAAUCGAACACCUCUGCAUGCAGCAGUAAUUCAGGAACACACGGGUAUGUACAUAUUUUCUUGCCGUUACUCUUCACUGUAUCAACAUCUCUUUUUGAUUUUUGUUACUAUAUGUUGUUUCUUGUACUUCGACUAUUGUAUUAUUUUGUGGCAGUACUGUUUUGUUUUGGACUGUUUUCUCUUGAGCUGAGAGUCUACCGGUAAUAGCCUCUCUGCCUCUGAGGUAGUGGUAAGGUCGACGUACACUCUACCCAUCCCCAGACCAACUUAGAGACUACACUGGGGAGUCUAAAUUUGUGUUGAUUUAACUCCUUAUUAUCAUCAUAUUUGACACAUACAUCCAGAUUGCGCGAGAUUGCUAACGCAAUGGAAUAGAUCCAGAUUGCGCGAGAUUGUGUGAAGAACCUGACGUGGGGGGUUGGAAUUCGCUGCACUUUACUGCUCUUUUAGGAUUGAAAGAAGUAGUUUCCGAUAUGCUGGGUGGAAAAAAUCCUUAGCGUACCUUCCAGCAGCCAGUAUAUAGAACAUACCAACGUUGUGAAUCUAUAAAAACUAUUAGAACAUACAUGGGCAGAUUCACAACGUUGGUUUUAUAGAUUCAGCAUCUGAAUCUAAUAGUUUUUGCCAGAUCCUGUCUGUAUAUAAAUAUUUUGACUUGAGAAUCCAUAAAUUUUAAGUUAUGUACAAGGGAAUUUACUACCGGUAACCAAACACUGUAUCAGUUAUGCAGAAAUCAUUAACAGAUAAAAGGCAUGUAAAUUGUGAACAUAAUAUCCUCGACCUGAAUAUGUUAAUAUGUGUGAGUCUCUGUGUGUGUUGCUGAUAAAGUUGGAGUAACUGGUAAAGUUGUUGUCACAUGACCAGAAGGUCAUGGGUUCAAGGUAAAACUGCGUACAAUACACCUUUGUGGUGGGGCCCUUCCCCAGACCCUGCGCAUAGCGGAAGCUUUAAUACAACGGGCUACCUUUUUGUGUGUGUCUGUGUGUGUGUGUUAGAUAGAGAGGGAGAGGAAGUGAGAAAAGUCGCUAAUUAUCAACAAAUAUAAUAUUUUGAAUCCAUAAGUUCUAAAGUACAAUAAGUACAGUUUUAAGAAUUUCUAAGGUUUAAUCUUUCAAGUUUAAGUCCUACAGAUGACGGUCGUUAUCUAUGUCUGAAACUUCAGAUAGCAUGUAUCCUUGAAAUGAAGUACAAGAUGCGGCAAGCGAGUUCGAGAUGGUCUAGGCAUGUAAAGAGUAGAGGAGCCGAUGCCCCAUGUGGAGGUGCGAGAGAUUGGCUAUGAAUGGUUUCAAGAGAGGUAGAGUAGAUCGAAGAAGUAUGGGAAGAACUGAUUAGCCAAGACUUGAUGUAGUUUCAGCUAACUGAGGACAUGACCUAAGAUGAAUCCGGUCGAGUUGUCUCUCUUUUCCUUCCAUACUAGUUAGUUGUAGUAUUAUUUGUAGUUUCUCUUCCUUCAAUUUCUAUAAUUAUCUAUUACUCUUUUGUGCUUCGAUUAUCAUAGUAUUCUGUUGUAGUUACAUAUUGCUUUGUCGUGAUCUCUGUGACCUUGGAGUAAUUGGUAAAGUUGUUGUCAUGUGACCAGGAGGUCACGGGUUCAAGCUUUUGAAACAGCAUCCGGCGUACAAUACACCCUUAUGGUGGGGCCCUUCCCCAAACCCUGCACAUAGCGGGAACUUUAGUUCACUAGGCUGCCUUUUUUUCUUGUCAUUCUCUCUAUAGUAUUUUUCCAUGGCUUCUCCACUUCUAACAUUUCUUUUCUUAACUGCUUUGAAUUGUUUUUCCUUGCACUGAAGGUCUAUAAAAUUUUGGAAACCUCUUUACCUCCCAAUGUAGGAGUAAGAUCUGCAUAUACUCGAUCCUCCCCAAAUUGCACUUGUGGAAUUUCAUUGGGUAUAUUGUUGUCAUUGUACCAUGAAUUAUUUAGUGAAGGUGCAUUGGUUCAAUAGCAUUGUCCGUGACGAAAAAUGAUCUCCAGCGACCGCUUAUAAUUUAAAUAGAAGAAAACGAUCUUACAUAGAUUGUUAUAUCAUGUGAUAAAGGAUGUAUAACUAAAAAAGCAAGUAAUGAACUAGAAAUAUGUUGUUCAAUUAUAUAUUUGCAAGCAAUAAGUACAAAUAGUAGCUAGCAUUCAUGUCUCUCUGACGAUUUCCUUGCUAUAUAAAUAACAACCAAGAGGUACAAUAAAAUAGAGAGGCAACUUAUGGAACAGACAGUAAUGGCAAAACCAAGUGAAUGUGAUAAAGUAGCAAACAUACCAGUUGAGAAUGCAAUUACAACUGCUAACAUUGACAAGCACUGACAAAUUGCUGCGUUAUCAUAAAGCUUCUGUAUAAUUUUUUCAUUUUCAGGUUUUGGAACUACACUUGCCAUGAUGAAGUAGAUGAAUAUGGAAACAGCCGAGAAUGUGAAGGCAAUGGCAUCGGAAACAACAAAUGCACGAAAUGUUGUUUUCCUUAUUAGAAUCGCCAUCCCUUUAUUAGGGCUAUCUGGGUCGCUCUCAAAACCUCCUGGCAAUGUGAUACCAGCGGCGAAAGUGAUCGUCAUUAUCAAAGUGGCCACGACAAUAUGGAAUUGAGCUGACUUCAUAAUAAUUUCUAUUACUGUUUGAUCUUCCUUUAUAGCUUUAUCGUGAUCAUUUUCCCUCAGUUGCAUUUUGACUCCUGUUCCCGUUUCAUCAUUUGGAUUGAGCAUGUACUCGUACUUCCGCUUUACCUCAAAGUCACGUUUUCCAAAUUGGCCAAUGCUACACAAAUCCUUCACCAAUUUCUCCUAUUUUCAUCAAUAGUACAGUUUAUUUUGAGUCUGUCUAACUGAGAACUAAUAUGUUCAUAGCUUAGGAGACAAUGAUAUCAUCUAAAAUAAAUUCUGGCGAAGGUAGAGCAAGAAAUAGAAUUAAAGUUUUACUUGAUGUUUCAACAGCACAUAUCGUUCACACAAAUCGUUCUUUCGCUUGACAUAAUCCUUGAACUAGUAUAUCAAUAUUUCACCAGCAUAUACUCAAGCGCAACCAGUAUUUCAAAAACAAAUGUGCGGCCGCUUACCUUCUUUGUUGUCGCUUUGCAUGACAAUGCUAUAUCAAGUGGAGUCUGGUUUUCUUUGUUAAAUGUCAUCUUCUUUGCUCUAGGAUGGUUUAUUAAUUCACGCACAUGGUUACCAGAGGCAACAAGCAAAUGGAGAGGAAUGUUGUCGUCGCAGCCUAAUAAGAACCGGACUACCUUGUCUUGAUUGUUCAGUAUGGCAACAGAAGAGCAUUUUGACUGUUGCUGUUAAGCGUAUCCCAACAAUCGGGGCAGUGAUUUAAUAGCUUCUCUAUCAUGUUUACGUCACCUUCACUUGCUGCAAUGUGAAUUGCUGUCAUCCAGUCAUAUUCACUGCCUGCCGGAAGGUACACUAAGGAUUUUUUCCACGCCAGCAUAUCAGAUACUACGCCCGCCAAUCCUAAUUUAACAGCAUAGUGCAGUGAAUUCCAACACCAUAAGUCAGGUUCCUCCCAUAAAGGCUUAUUCCAUCGCCAUAGUGAUCUAAUGCAAUCUGGAUAUGUCAACAUGAUAAAAUGCAUAAAUAAGGGGUUAGAUCUUCUCACAAAUAUAGUUUCACAACAGACAUUACGAAAUCAUCAACAGAAAUUGCAGAUAAAUGUUUUUUCUAGAGCGGUUGCAUAAGAAGUGAUCUGAAUGCUACAUAAGUUGAUUAUAAGUUGAUGAGACUAAUGGAGGAUCCUAGUAAGACUAUCGACAUGAUUAAUCCAAAUUUAUGUAGACGAUGUUAAAUAUUGGAAAGUCAACUUUAGUUAGAUAUCGAUACCUCAAAUAACAAAAAUUAUGUACCUCUUAACAAAUGACUGUGAUAUCGUCAUGAAAAUGCCGCCUCACACCUCUAUCUAUCCUUCUCAGAUCUGCGUAUA
rnacentral:lncRNA from 1 species